UAGGCUUUAUCCACGGUGUGAGCUGCCGGCCUGACGCGGAGUUUGGUAGGGGAGGGGAAUUUGAAGUCUACGAUUUUUUGGGACGUUGGCGGGCAACAGUUGGUCGGGACUGCUCCACUUGGAAAGUCCGCAGCUCCGCAUUUGGCUAGGUCAGGCGGCGACACUGGCUUUGCAACAGCGAAGGGGUCGCUGCCAAGACCAGCCACUCCACCGUAUAGGCUUCCGAGACCUAUAAGUACAUUUCUUCUGUCUAGGUUUACUGGAGAAGGGUUUUCAUGGUCGUGAUCGUUGGAGCUAGUGGAAGGGUUUUUGUUUUGGUCACUACUAUUAUUUGUGGCUUUGCAUGAGACAGCUUGUAAAUUGGAAUGCCUAGGGUUUCCAAAUGAGGAUAUUCGGUGAUACUUUUGGGAGAAAGGGGAGAGGAAAGUUGUGGGGAUGAUACUUGUGGCGGAGGUGACGAGUGGAGCUGACAUAGAAGCCAUGGUUACUUUUGACUCUGAAUAAUACGUUGUAUUGGCUUUGCUUUUAUAAUGUGUUCUAGGUUGUACUUUUCUUUGCACAGGUGGCAGGCCGUACACACGUGGUCGGUCCUUAAGGGUUUGACGAGGAAUACUACGUAGUCAUUUAGUACAGGACAACCAUACACUAUAGCAAGUGGCAUGUAUUUAGAGAUCGAGAGAGAAUUGGGUAAGGUUCACGAGGGAUUUGUAGUUUCAGAAGGUGAAUUGGUUUUGGUCUUCUUGUGUACCAAUAAUAUUUACUUAGUCAUUUAGUGCAGGACAACCAUGCACUAUAGCAAGUGGCAUGUAUUUAGAGAUCGAGAGAGAAUUGGGUAAGGUUCACGAGGGAUUGUAGUUUCAGAAGGUGAAUUGGUUUUGGUCUUCUUGUGUACCAAUAAUAUUUACUUAGUCAUUUAGUGCAGGACAACCAUGCACUAUAGCAAGUGGCAUGUAUUUAGAGAUCGAGAGAGAAUUGGGUAAGGUUCACGAGGGAUUGUAGUUUCAGAAGGUGAAUUGGUUUUGGUCUUCUUGUGUACGGCUGUGGGUCUGCUGUCCCGGACUCUCUGUCUCAUUUGUGUCUUAUUUUUUAUUUUUUCACACGUGUCUUUUACUUAACGUCAAAUCAUGAUAGCAAUGUUAUGCAAUUGGGAGCUAAACGACCGAUGCUUUUAUUUUUUAGUUUGCUUUUUUUCCAGAUCUGAUCAAAUCAUGAUAGCAAUGUUAUGCAAUUUUCAAGAGGGAAAGAUGCACCUGGGAGAGAAACGGUACGGUGACUUCUAAAUCACCGUCCAACAGAACAAUUCUCAGUAGAGACUACUAGAGAGAGAUGCACCUCACCAAUGAAAAAUUUAACUGCAAAAAUUCUGGGUAUUGGGUAAGGAAAUUCGGUGAUACUUUUGGGAGAAAGGGAAGAGAGAAGUUGUGGGGAUGAUACUUCUCGUGGAGGUGACGAGUGGAGCUGACAUAGAAGCCAUGGUUACUUGACUCUGAAUACUACGUUGUAUUGGGUUUGCAUAUAUAUAUAAUUAGGAUUGAAGGAUGUAGAGCUUAUUUUGUUAUGUAUUUUAACGAUUUAAGUGCUUAUCUUUUAGGUUUUCUCUUAAACAUCAUGUCUAUAAAAAAUCACCAAAAUUCAAACCAUAUGACCAUUAGAUCCAUAGUCAUUUUAGUGUUUAUUUGUAAAAUGUAUUCAUUCAUUUUCUUCACUACAAAUGAGUGAAUUAAUGAUUUUAGAAUUUGUCUAAUUUUUUACAUUGAUUAUUUAUGAAUGUUGAAUUGAAAUUUAGACGAUUCAAAAAUAGUUGAUAUGCAUUACAAAAUGAACUCCACAAAAUAAGUGUCAAAAUAUGUAUAAAAAAUGGACAGCGUGAAUGGCUUGGAAAUUGGAAUAGGUUUGAAAAUUGUGCUUUUUGUAGCAAAUUUUAGCAAAGUUUGCUUGGACUUUCACAACCGUAUAAAUUAAAGGGAAACUUGAUAUAACUCCAAUUUUUUGAGCCAAUAGUAGGAAUAGUCCAGUUUAUUAAAAUAAGUUCAAUUCUUUAAAUUUAAUUAUUUAGUUAUCAAUAAUUAUCUCUUAAAAGAAAAAACUUAUUGUAAAAAUCAAAUUUCUUCCUAAUUAUCUCUUUGAUUAUUUCUUUUUAUUUAUUUAUUUGUUAUUUCUUGUUCUUCCUCCUGCUUUAACCCAUUUAUAGAUUUUUUUUUUAAUUUUAUAAUCAACCUAUGUCACAGGUUAAUUGUAUUUAUCUACCUAUAUGACAUAUUCUUUUUCAUAGUCAACAUUUCACAGAUUAAUGUGUCUUGCUUGUAGAUAUAUUAUGUUUUUUUCUACCUUUUAGUUAGGUUUCAUAUCUCACUUAUAGGUAUAAUAUACAUUCAUAUAUUUGCUACUUGAGUUAGGGUAGAAUGUUUUGCAGAUAGAUUUAUGUUAGUAUAUUAAUUUUUUUUUGUUUAUAAGAUAUUAAUUAGAUAUUUUGGAGUUGAAAAAUGCAUAAUAUUAAAAGCUUUUAAUUGAUUUUUAAUAUUUUUAGAAAAUAUAAAAGGAGUAUAAAAGAAAUCAAAACAUAUAAUUAGAUAACGGGAGUCACUCCUAAAAACACUCUAUGUUUUUUGACCUGGAUCUUAAAGCCCCUAAAUUAAACUGUUCGCUUUGUUGGGAAAAAGAAGUGGCCCUAGUUUCCCUUUGAUUUUUCAAGCACGGUGGGAGACUGGUCAUAGUUUCUAGAUUGAUGCUCUAAUUCUAAUGUUAUACAACGCGUACGCUAUAAUAUUUUUAUCAAAAUAUUAGUUUUAGUGUUAUCAAAACAAUAUGUUAUUCUUACCAUGUUUUUGUAUCACAAUUAUAUACCACCUUAGAUGGUAUCUGAUGUGGACAGCCACAUCAUUUAAAUUAAUAAGCAUUUAAUUUCAAAAUGUUAAUCAAUAAUUAAUAAAAAGAUUGUUAAUUAAAUGAUGAUUGUGGUAUACAAGGAGUCUCCUUCUUCCUUCCUCUUUCCAUUCUGCUUUUUCUUCUUACCUCUUUUUUUUUUUUAAUGCCAGUUUUGUAUUGAUUUCUGUUGAUUUCCAUGAUUAUGGUCAAUCUUUAUAGAAUUUACUAGUAUGCCACAAUCACCAUUGAUUUCUAUCUCCAGACUCAUGCCCCGUAGCCCUAAUCCUCAUUCCCCUUCAAGUAUUUCUGUCUCCAAUCUUCUUUGGUACUCCAUGAUUGUUCAUCUCGUGAUAUUUUUUUUUUUGAUUAUUUCAUUAAGUAACGCUUAUUAGCUUUCAUGCGAAUUAGGAGUCAAAAUCAAAUUUGUCUAUCGGAUUAGGGUUCAUACCCAAUUAAGUUACUAACGCCAGAGGGAUUUUGAAGUAUGCAAUUUUCCUUAUUUAAGUGUUUUAAUUAAUAAGAAAAUUGAAAUUAAACAAUUUAGCUUGUCCAACUCAUCUGCCACCUAAGAUGGUAAAUAAAUGUGGUAUAAAAUUGUGGUAAGAAUAUCAUUACUCUUAUCGAAAUUACAAAAAAAAAAAAAAAAGCUGAUUCAAUAUUUAGUUAUUAAAAAAAAAAUGAUCAAGUAACUAUCCAAUACCCAUGUAUUGGGUGCUUUGUUUGAAAAUUUUCAAAAUGAUAUUGGGCUCGUUUGGAUAUGUUUUUAAAAUGACUGAAAGCAUUUUUAGAGAAAAUAUUUUUUUGAUUCCAAAAGCACUUAAAGUGCUUUCUGCAAGAAGCACCCGUUAUGUGCUUCUUCCUGGAAGCACUUUAAGUGUUUUUCCAGCAUUUACUUGCUUUUUUACUAAGGACUGGUUCCAAAAACAUUUUCACAAAAAGUGUUUUCAGUCAUUUUAAAAGCACAUUCAAACGAGCUCAUUGUUUUUCCUAUUUUAAUCGAGUGCGUCGUCCUCUGUUGAGAAUGAAUCUCAUAUUAUGGGAGGAGGGAUCUUGCAUGAAUGGGAGGAGGGACCUUGCAUGAGCUUAUAAGUAAGUUGGGUUACUCUCCAUAUUGCCAAAAGAAAUUUUAUUUGGACCCAGUUUUCCUCUCUCUAAACCCAACUUUAAUAUUUUGUUACCUAUAAACUCUCUAGUUUACCCUCAUAAAUUAUAAACAUAAAUAAACUAGAAAAAGAAAAACUCAUCAAACCCAUUUCCCAACUGUUCUGGCGUCUCUUCCCUGUAUUUGUUGGGUCUGUCUCCCUCCCGACUGUUUUUUUUUUUCUGAUAUCUCUGUGUGUUCCCCCACCUCUCCCACACCCACCAAUUCUUUGUGGUGGCUAUUCCACCAAACGUCCAGUGAAUCUUUCCAUUUUUCUUCUAUUGCGCGUGAUAGGGCCUUGCUAUUAAUAGGCAAAACUAAGCGGCAUCGUCGACUCCGUAAGCGACUUGUUGCAUAAGUCCAAAAUGGAGUCAAAUGGAUUUUGUAUUGGGUCGGGUUGUUGAAGGCGAUGGCUGAUUUAGCAAUCCCGCCUAACUAUUUCUAUAUGUAGGAGAAGGAAGAGGGAGGGAGGUCUGAAGUGGUGGUUGAGUGGUGGCGAUGUAUGUGGGUUCUCUCUCGGUUGAAUGGGUGUAGAAAGAUAUUUAAUUUUCAAUAUCUUAUUUUAUUUUGUAUAAGGGAUAAUAUAGGAAUUACAUAAAAAGUUUUUUUUAUAGCUAGGUGUAGAAAUAGUAUUGUUGGGUCUAAAUAAAAUUACCCUAUUGCCAAUUAGUUUUAUGGUGAAAUCUUAACUUUGUUCAUGCUUUCAUAGUAGGUUGUUCCACGUGUGAAGUCAAACAUCCACACGCGCUGCACGUCACCCCGUUGUGUUGUUCACGUGUUAAGCUUGAAAAUUCAUCACACAUGAGGGAGCGUGUUGAGAAUAAAUUCCACAGUUUAUAAGUAAGUUGUACUACUCCGUAUAUUACCAAUUAAUUUUGUGGAAUUCCGUCAAAGCUGAAUUUGACGGAAAAAAAUAACUUCAUGUUUGUUCUUAACUAUAAAGUCAGUGAUACACUAAUUCUGGUUUGUUUGUUUUUUCCUUCCUUCUUAAGGAAAUUCCCAAUCCAACCAAAAAAAUGAAAUUCCCAAGAGAAUAGUAGCACGAACAAUCGUAGCUUUCUUCUUCGAUAAGCCUUGGGGAAACAGAAAAGGGAAAACCGGACUUUAACCCUAAUUUCUCCCAAUGCCGCAGCACUCUCUAUUUUCUCUCUCGCUCUAUAUCGCGGUCCCUCUCUCUCGCCGUCCUCUAUUGCUCAAACUCAAUGUCUCCAACUUCCUCUGUAUGGUUCCCGAGGAAGAUGGUAAAACAGUAAGGGCAAGAAAUUGUGACAAGGUUAGAUUUGGGUAUUAAUCUGGUGGGGCUACAAUUCUCCAAUCCACACCCCUUUCAUCUGUGCUAGUGUUUGAACCCAAUAUUAGAUAACCGGUCCAUGCAAUCGAUGCCGUUGAAUGAGAAAAAUUCUAGGCCGUGGGAUCAAAUAUAAUGAUGUGGAUUAAAUAAGGAAAAUUUAAAGAGUAAUGAUAUUCAUACCAUGUUUUUGUACCACAUUUUCAUACCACCUUAGGUGGCAUUUGAUGUGGAUAGCCACAUCAUUUGAAUUAAUCAGAUUUUAAAAUUUAGUUGAUUAUUUAAUAAACUAAUAAUUAAGAAAAACUAAUUAAUUAAAUGAUGAUUGUGAUAUACGAGGAGUCUUUCUCGUUCAUUUCUUUGGGUUUUGCAAAUUUUUCAAAUGAUGUGGCUGUCUACAUCGGAUGCCACCUAAGGUGGUAUAGAAAUAUGGUAUAAAAAUAUGGUAUGAAUAUCAUUACUCAAAUUUAAAUGUUUAUCUUGGUUAAAUUACCAUGAUAAUAUUGUGGAAUUAUCUUUUGCAUAACGGAAGAGCGAGAAAAGUCCAAGGGUGUAGGGAAGUUGUGUGGUUGACUACCGCUAUUUUGAUGGUAUAAUCUGUAGAGUAAUAUUACAUUUAACAUCUAUUUGUAUCAUAUUUCUAAUAAAGAUAAGGACCAUCAAUGCAUAAAUAAUUAAACAAAUAUAUAAUAAGAGUAUCAUUUUUGUAACUAGAAUAGGAGAAGAAAGACUUCAAGAUGGGAUCAGCCAAAUAAUUAGCGUUAAGAUAAAAAUAUUGAAAGGAAAACUAAUGAAAAUGGCUUGAAAACUUUGAGUUUUAACGAUAAGGACAAGAUAAAGGGUAAAGUGAAUAGUACCAGGAUUGACUUUUUAAUGUAAAAAUAUAGUUUUUCGUUAAAGUGAACAUUACCGGGAACUUUUCGUUAAAGUUUCCAAUGAGAUAAUAUUGCAACAGCUGGCAUGAGACAAUGAUGGUAUAAAGAUGGCUACUACGGCCAAACUACUACAUAGGAUUCCAUACAUGCGGUCAUUAUUUCGACAAAUCAAUGGCUGCCGCAAUCAUGUGCUCAUUAUUCCGACAAAUCAGUAGCUACUUGCAUUGGAUUAGGAUUGCAUGCGUGUGGUCAUUGAAUGAGGAUUGCGUGCACGUGAUCUUUAUUCAAACAAAUCACUAUUGACCAUAUAUUGCAAUUGGUUAAUGGUAGGCAAAUUGAAUUUUUACAUCAAAUAAUGUGAUUGCUGAUAAUUGAAUUAUUAUUUAAAUGUUGAUUAAUAUGCUUAUUUUUUAUUUGUGAUAUAUCAUUUAAUUUGUACAUUUAGUUUACCUAACAUUACCAACUGUAAUUUGUAUAAAUGGACUGGUACCUAACAUAACCAGUUGUAAUUUGUAUAAAUGGGACUGUAAUUUGUAUAAAUGGACUGGUGCCUAACAUUACCAGUUGUAAUUUGUAUAAAUUUACUGGUCCCAAGAGCACAUGCUACUGCUCAAGAAGCAAAGUUCUUAUUUGCCCAAAAAAAAUCAUGGUUUUUUAAUUGAUGCUCUCAUUUUAAUUUACUAGCCCCUUACUUGGCCUUUUUUAUUUAUCAUUUUAUACAUAUUAAUAUUUUUUUGUAAAAUAUAUUAGUUUGAGUUUUAUUAAAAUUAAAAAUAAAUAAAAAAACUUAGUUUUAGUUUUAUCAAAUUAAAAAAAAAUGACUUAAUAUUUAGUUAUUGAAAUUGUAAAAAAGUGAUCAAGUAUUGGGUGCUUUGUUUGAAAUUUUUCAAAAUGAUAUUGUUUUUACCAUUGAAACCCUGUUAUAUACAGUGAUGGCUAAUUUGUCAAGUUCUACGAAGUUGGGAUACCCAGCGUUUUAGCAUAUAACAUAGCUUAGUAUUACAAGCAUAAUUAAUUAAAAUAAAGGCAAAAUAAGAGGAUAGCUUAGUAUUACAAGCAUAAUUAAUUAAAAUAAAGGCAAAUUGUAACAGCCCGUCCCUAAAAAUGACGAUUUUAUAAUCUUAACACGUGAGUUUAUGAAGAUGCCCUUCGAGGCAAAGUGUUGACUACCGCGUCGUGUCAUGUGAGACUCAUCUUCUUGGCGUAUUCUCGUUUUACUCGUCGCUACGGAUGCGUGGGCGCAAACGACACGUGAUUUGGAGCUAUAACAAAAGAGUUAUUAACAUUUAAAGUUAAGGACAUUUUAGUAAAUUAAUUAAUUUCAGAUUUUGUUGAGGGGAAAAUCUGGAGUGCCAUGUGGGUGGCCCAGAUUAAAGGAAAUGAGGAAUGGAUGGUGGAGGUGUAAAGGAAAGAAGAUAAAAGAAAAAUGAGAGGAAAUGUGUGACUAAUAGGGAGAUGAGAGAGUUAGGAUGGCCCAAUUAGAAACAAACGAAAGGAGGAAAAAGGAGAGAAGAGGGGAGCAGGGGAUCCCUUCAACCCGGUUCCACUUUCCGACCCGACCCGAUCCUUUUCAUCUUUUCCGGUGGUUUUUCGUCAGUUUUUCCGGCGAACCACGUUAUCUAACCCCGUUGAAAAUGUUCCACGACCUUCCCUCUACCAUUACAACCCAAAAUUGUAGAAAUUUAGCCAUGAAAGUAUGAAAACCGCACCGGUGGGUGCGGGAAACCUUUGUCGUCGAUUCUCCCAUUAUUGAAACGAUUUUCACCAAUUAUCACCACCUACAGCAUCCUCUUGAGGUCUGGAAUAAAGCCCAAACAAGUUUUGGGGCGUUGGAGUUCGUUUAAGGUCGAAUUGAGCACACCCAAAUUCAAGGGUUCCGUACCGUUCAUGGUGAUUUGAGGUGUUUCUCGGCCAAAUUGGCCUUAGUCACAAGUAUGAAAGUUGCUCCACUCGUUGAGAUCUUCAUUUAUGUGAAAUUUGAGAAUUUUUUGAAAUAUUUGGAUUUUCCAGCGAGUCGGGGUGGCGGACCGCCACCGGCAGCAGCGCAUGGCCAGUGGUCCACCAAUGUCAUUUUACGUUAAAUUGAUAUCUUGAUUUUAGAUUUGAUGUCUAUAUGUUAUGACUUGAUUAUGUGAACCUAGUUUGAUUAAGGUGCGUUAAUUGGUAAAAAUAUGAAACGACGAUCCGACCGUGGGAUCGUCACCAAACUUUAAUAUGUUAUAGUACAUAAUAUUUGAGAAUCAUAGGGACUGACAGAUAGGAAAUCCGAGAUACAGAUCUUCCCGAAAUGGAAUUGUAAGUUUGAAGAAUAAACGUUAACCGCCACUUUGUUUUGACUAUUGGUGGAGAUCCAACCGUUGGAUCAUAAUGAAAUUUUAGGAUGAUGUUUUAGAAGCAUAAUGUGGAUCUUUGGAAGUUACUGAUCGGAAAUCCGAGGAGUGAAUCUUCCGAAUUGAAUUACGUAGGGUUGUGGACCUUACCGUCGAUCGUUGACCGAUGAUCGACUUUUGGUCAAUGGGGCUUAAAUCAAUCUAAAACGUUUUUAGGGAUGUGUUUUACGUAAAUUACAUGAUCUAUUGAUAAGAAUUAUGAGAUGUGGUUUGAUAAUUGUCCUAGGUGCCGAUCGUUAGGAACGCUUCGAUGGUUAUGCUAGGAAAUUGUAGCACAGACUCCUUGUGAGUGAAUCUUUUCCUUCUUAUCAUAUAUAUAUAUAUAUAUAUAUAUAUAUAUAUAUGAUUGACAAUUCCACAAACGUUUAUAAAUUGAUUAUUGCAUAUAACUACUGUGAAUACUUUGAAGUACUUAUGCGAACUACGAAUGGCUUGAUCCGUGUUUAGGGUACGUAGGCAGUCUAACAAGACGUUAGAUGUAGUCAUACAAUAAUUGAGAUUAAACAAUUGAGAUAAAGCCUUGUUUGGGGAACUGGGCAAGGUGAAGGAAUUUGGUAAAAAGGUGAGAUUUAACCUUAUGAAUUGGUGAUUAAAUGUUGGUCAUAAAUCAAUGUGUAAAGAAUCAAGAAUUUGAAGUAAGGAAACGUAAGUAAUGAUAAUUAAUUAAACUAGUGUCUAGUUGGGCUUGUCACCUAUAAUUAUCCCCGAAAAUGAAUAAUUCGGGAGUAGGGCGUUACAGCUUCUGCAUUUUUAUGCCACAUUAUAUAUAUAUAUAUAAUUGGAAAUGCUAUAACAUGGUUGAGUAUCAGAUUUCAUCAUGGUUUAUCUAUAUGUAUAUUACCUGCACACAAUUAUUAUGAACGCGUUGAAGUGCAAAGGUGAAUGCACGACACCCAGGUAAGUUCAGGUGAGUUUAUGGUAUUAGUUGAAAUGAUGGGGUUAUGGUAUGACUACAUGUAUGUUUAGGUUGCAAUGAUAGGCAACUCCAACACUGUCGUACAGGUUGCCCAUGAAUUGUACAUGUUACAAUAGAUACAGUUAGAGCUCAUAAACCUACACCCCGGUGUUAGUACUCCCGCUCGUGGCCAGGGCACAGUCCUUCACGUGAUGUUCACCUCCCGCACCUUACGCUCACCUUGGAUCCAAGGUAGGUGCACAAUCAUGUCGUACCACUAUAGGUGGUUCCGACUCGUAGAUGACCCGCGAUUAUUUGCACAGUCUUCACGUGAUUGUAGCACUUGAGCGUAUUUAUUUACACCCAGUUCUAUUGUACAGACCACUUUAGGUGGUUCCGACUCGUAUGCAGGUAUACUUAUUAAGCUAUGGAUAAGUCGUACAGGUCACUAGAAGUGACUCCGACUUAUGAGCUAGCAUAUGUGAUGAGCUAGCAUAUGUGAUGAGAUAAGUGAUGAGUUAGUAUAUGUAAUGAGAUAUGUGAUGAGCUAGCAUAUGUGAUGAGAUAUGUGAUGAGCUAGCAUAUGUGAUGAGAUAUGUGAUGAGCUAGCAUAUGUGAUGAGUUAGCAUAUGUGAUGAGCUAGCAUAUGUGAUGAGAUAUGGGUAAGUCGUACAUGUCACUAUAGGUGACUUCGACUUGCGUGCUAGUAUGGGUUAUUAAUCACAUGAUUAUUGAUAUUACUGAUGAGAUGCUGUGUUGUGGUAUAUUUAUGAUCUUUCUGGAAACUAUGCAAGUGUUGUAACGAGGGGUUAUAAUGAGGUGUUGUAACGAGGGGUUAUAAUGUUUUAUAUGGUUUCUGUUAAAAUUUUAUUUCUAGGGUCACUCACCCUUAUUUUGUUUUCACCCUCUAGGUUUUAUUAGCUGAGCUUUCUUAUCGUCGAAGAUUCGUGGCGAUUCUUAGUAUUGGAGAUUAUUUCGAGAGUACGAUUCUUAAUUCACUUUACUGUACUUGCUUAAGCUGUAACGUCACGUGUGAAGUGGGUUCAUUUCCGCUUACCAGCGCAUUCUGGUAUUUAGGCACUCUUAGGUUUAAAUUUAUUCACAUUUUUCCACAUCAUCAAACUUUAUGGCUUUGUCACUCUUUAGGUGUCGGCCAGCACAGCUCGAUUUGGAGUCCUAGUGGACAUUCCGGGUCGGGGUGUGUCACAAAUGAAGAGGAUGGUUGAACUUGUUAAGUUUCUUAAGUGUGUCUACUUGAAGUGUGUUGCUAAUAAAUAUUUUGUUGUAGGCAUAAUUUACUGAACAAUUAUGGAGGCAGAGAGAGAGAGAGGGAAUAUGCGGCAUAGAGAGAGAAGAGAGAGAUGUGUAAUUGUGAGGUGUGUUCUAUUCCACCCCAUUGUACCUUUAUUAUAUUAGUAGGGAAAGUUAAUUCCUUACCCUUUUAGGAUUACAACUCUAAUAGGAAAAUAUCUAGUCUAAGAGAUAUGAUAGAAUCUCAUAAGGAUAUCCUAGAUAUGUUAGGAUUUACACAAUCAUAUUCCUAUUCCAAUAAGACUGCAACACAUUUGUAUUUUUUUAGAAUUUUUUUGAUAAUUUGUUGGUAUUCUCAAUUUUUGUUAACAUUGAAAAUAUAACGGUUCAGAUGAAAAACCUUUGGAAAUCCAACAGCUUGCAAGACGUUGGGCUGUGCUGAAGGAAGCUGGGCUGUCACGUGGAUGGGGCCCUCCCUCUCCCUCUUGUUGAUUCAAAGGGCGCAGGCCCGUGCAACAAUUGGCGAGGCAGCCCAUAGAGAUCCUGCGAUUCACCCAUUCGCCAUUUUUUCCACCGCUGGAGCACCAAAAUUCGGUCAAAAGGCAGGGGUAUCAAUGGCAAGGGCAAUUUGGCUUCCGCUGGAGGUGCUCUUUGUCGACUUUGUUUUUUCUCUCAUUUUAGCUUUUGCAGUAAUAUUGAAGUAAUCACUCCAAUUUUAUCCAAACUUUUGUUGUCCGUCAAUUUUUAUCAAAACUAUUGGUUAAUUUACAUAUUCAGACUAACCUUCUCAUUAUUUUUAGUAUUUUUAUCAUAAAUAAUAUCUGAAAUAGUCACAUUUUAUUCAACAACCACUCAAUUAAAAAUUAAUUAGUGUUGUUUCUAAACCAUUACAUCAAGCUUUUGUAGAUACACAUCAAUAUUGCAGCGAUCCGAGGCAUUGUUUUAGUGACGGUAGUACUUUCUACUCCUUGGAUUUGGUGAAUCGGAAAAGAGAAGAGUUACGAGUAAAAGUCCCUCGCAUUGUUUUGGGGAGAUGAAGAUGAUGAUCUUUUGUUUUUGUUUUUUAAUGAUUAAUCCACGCAGCAACAUAUAAUUAAAUUGUUGGGAUCUACUCAAGUUCCAUAUCACACACUAACAUAAAAUUUGACAAACGAAACGAAAUAUGUGUGUAGACAUCGAAAUUUCGUAAAUAAAUGUUGACCGAUAAAUCAAAGUGUCAACGCUCAUGUAUUACAUAAAUUUUACACGUAGCGUGUGACUCAACGAAAAUUGAAAUGAGUUGGAAAAGUCAUCAAAUAGGACACGUGUCAACACCUGGCAGAAACGACUUAUUUCAUCUGGGAUAUUAUAUUCAAAAUUAGCCAUUGGAAAAUUCUAUAAAUACAAGCCCAUUUCAUUCAUUUAAGGAGAGGAAUUCAUAUUACACCUUGAAGCUCUGAAGCUCUGAAACUCCGAAGCUCUCAAGCAUCCAGGUUCCCGAAGAAUCAAGAAAGUGUUCUUCGUUCUUCGUUCAUCGUUCUUCCAAGAUCAAGCCUCGACGGCCCUUGGAUCAACAAUCAUCCACCUUCAAGAUCAAGCCCCGACGGCCCUUGAAGAAAGCGUUCUUCGUUCUUCGUUCAUCGUUCUUCCAAGAUCAAGCCCCGACGGCCCUCGGAUCAACAAUCAUCCACCUUCAAGAUCAAGCCCCAAAGGCCCUUGAAGAACUUCCACCAAUUCAAGAUCAAGCCCCGACGGCCCUUGAAGAAAGCACCAUCGUUCAUCAUCCGUUCAUCCAAGAUCAAGCCCCAACGGCCCUUUAGAUCAACAACGUCGACAAAUCCACACAUCCAACCGUUCUUCAAGAUCAAGCCCAAAAGCCCUUGAAGAUCCGUUCAUCACUGUUCUUCAAGAUCAAGCCCAAAAGCCCUUGGAGAUCCGUUCAUCACUAUUCUUCAAAGAUCAAGCCCAAAAGCCCCUUUGAAGAUCCGCUCAAAUCCACCUUCAAGAUCAAGUCCACGGCCCUUGAAGAACGUUCAUCCUUAGAUCAAGCCCAACGCCCCUUUGGAUCAAUCGCACAUCCACAAAUCAACACCUUACGGAGAUCGAAUCAGAGGAUCAAAAUAGAGAGAGAUUGUAACCCAAAAUCAUCAAAUACAAAUAUUUGUUUGUGCGCGUUGUUCUUGUCUCUUUCGUUUCAGGAAUUUUCCGUGUUCACAAUGUGCUCUUGAAAUCAAAAUGAGGGCACUGCUCCAAGAACAAGAAGGGCACCUUGUCGAGGUCGCCAUCCGCCGUGAGGGAAAACCGGAAGAAGUUGGACAACAAUGAUAACAUCAAUUUGCGGCACCCAUAUCGGGACAUCACACUGUGAAAUAAAUAUUGAAAUAAAUACUCAAAACUCCUGGAAAGUCCUCGAGACAACAAACUUUCAUCUCCUUCAAACAUUUCAUUUUACUAAGUUUUAUCUUUGAAGGGAGGGAAAAAAAGAGAAGAGAGAAUCCUACUCCUUAUUCCUGAAUAUAUUCAAGAAUAGCUAUUGAAUAAAGAGAGAAUGGAGGGUGAUCGAAAGAGGAGGGAAGAGAAUUCUAGUUCCAAACAUAAAAAGGACCACAACUUUUAAAUUAUCAGCACAAUCAUCACCUAAUUGAAGAGACCAUUCACUGUGAAACAUAUUGUCAAUCAGUCUAUCUAUAUCUAUUUAUAUACCAUAUUUUUAGAGUAAGAUUCUCUCACCUCCUAUUACCAUCCCCUUCCAUCCUUUCAUCUCAUACUCUUUUUUUGUUGUCUUAUUCUCUAUAUAAAAAAAUUCAAAACAAGAUGUAUACGUGACGUAAUCGUAACCGUUUAAAUAAGAGGGGAUAGAAGAGAAGAGAGAUUAGGAGAAGGGAGAAUCCUACUCCCACAUUUUUCUUCUUCAUAAACAAAAGAGAGGUUCUAGAUUACUUGACUCUAUGCCUCAUUUUUUUCAUCAAGUAUUUGUGAUAAGUGGGUUCAUUUUCAAGUAUUUUAGUUUUUUUGUCAAAAUUGAGAAAACUGAAAAUCAAACAUUAAUAUGAAAAAUUAAAAAAUCAACAUAUAAUUAUUUAGAAAUCGCAAUAGAAAAGAAAAAAAAUGGAGGUUUGUGAUGAAAAAUCUUUUAUACUAAGUAAUUUAGUAUCCUUAUGCAUGAAGAUAAAUCAAUUUGUUCGUUACGGUCAUACUCUUUUUUGAAUUUUUGAACACAUUCUCCAUAGGGCCUUCUUAUAUGUUCCUUCUCCAAGCUCGGGUUAUGGAAGAAGUAAAAGAAGGAAUCGAAAAGAAAGUAUUGGUAACAACCGAUUUCAUUACGAGACAACUCUUGAUAUUCAUAUCAAUCUAUUAUGUACCUUUGCAUCUAGCAUUAGACAAUAAUUGUCAUAGCUUUACCAUAUUUUUUUGUUUCAUUUCUUCUGAAACAAUCUCACACACUUUUUUAUUAUGUGUCUACUACUAGGAAUUCAAUACGUAAUCUUAGCAUUCAAUAGUUAUUCCUAAAUAAUUUCAAUUUUCAAAUGAUCAACCAUUUCAUUUUACCAAGUUCAAUCAAUGUUAGUCAGAUUAGUCAACAUUUAUAUAUUUUGAUGCAACAACAAGAUGUUAUUUGUAACAAGUGAUUUUGUUAGUUGGUUAAUUGGUCACAAGUUAAUGUUCGGUUCAGUUUAGUUUUUCUCUCGAUUUUUUGUGAUUCGGUUUUUUCAAUUCUCUUUAGGGUCGGUUCGGUUUUGUUUUUUUAUUUAUACUUGAAUUUUAUUUUAAUUUAUUUUAAUUUAUUUUAUUUUAAAUCUGGAAACACCAAGAACAACACAAGCACAUAGUCAAUCAAACAACUAUCCUUCUCCACAAAUCAUAGUAAUAAUUACAUUCAUUGAGCUGAAAUGCAAAUAACUAACAAACUCACAAAAAUCAAAUAAAAACUACAAAUUGCUUACUCUUUUUCUUUGGGUUUCACUCGAAAAGUGUCGGUAAAAUUUAGGGUUUGCAAGAACGCAACUGAAAUCUAAAACGGAGGCCUUGUGGCCUAUGGGUUGCUAUUGAGUUCCAGUACAGAGAACCUUGCUUAAUCUCGAUCACGGUACAAAGUAUCGAGUACCUUUAGCACUGUAUUUUGGUAUGAUUGGUAGAACCAAAUUAAAAGCUAACAUCAACAACAACUACCAGAGACAAAAGCUCUUAUCAAUGCUUUGGAAACAUUUAUGUAUCUCCAAGUGUAAUGAUAUAAUUGGUUGGAAACUUGUGAUUUCGUAUCAAAUCAAUAAAAAGUUACAAUAUUGACAAUAUAUUAGCAAUUUUUAUGUUAAUUAUGAACAAGUCAAUCAUGUAGAACCAAAUUAAAAGCUAACAUCAACAACAACUACCAUAGACAAAAGCUCUAAUCAAUGCUUAGGAAACACAGUCCUGUAUCUCUAGGUGUAUUGAUAUAAUUGGUUGGAAAUUUAAAAGAAAAAUGGUGAUUUUGUAUAAAAUUGAUAAAAAGUUACAAUAUUGACAAUAUAUUUGACACACCCCGACCAAGAUCAAGGCAUGCUGGCCGUCACAUGAGAGUGACGUAACCAUGUGCACAGUGCGGAAGCAAUAAUGAUAAGAAAUAUAUGAAUAAUUAAAAACCGAAUCUACUAGAGUGCACUACUAAACAGGAAGUAUUAGGAGUAAGAUACAAAAGUAAAUACUCCUAAUCAGAGCAUAGAAAGUCUAGGUGCAAUCCAGUAGGACAAGUACUAAUUAUACAGUAUAAAAUGUCUUACAAUUAUUUAGAUAGGUCAGAACCGCCGAAGUCCUCACACCCAACAACUGCAAACUUACUUAAAACCUGAAGGGGCGCAAAAUAGAAAACGUGAGUGGGAAAAAACAAAUGUUUUACAAAACCAUUUCAUUUAUCAAUAUAUCUAACCCCUCGCUGUAAACAUGUAUAAUUUUUCCCAGAAUCAAGAUAUAAGCAUAUACAUAAAUAUAUAUAUAAAUAUAUCAAUUCAAAUCAUGCUUCACAUAAUCAUAUUCAUAUGUAUGUCAUGCCAAGAUAUAACAGAGUAAGCAACUCAGGUAAGAGUAAUUUCAUAGAAAUAUAACAUGUUAGCCGGAACCCCUGUAGUAGUCUGUACGGCUGAAUUCAUAGCUCAAAAGUCAAUCUAGCCGAAGUCACUACAAUGACCUAUACGGCAAUAUACUGCACAAGAGUCGGAACCAAAUGAAAAGAUCUGUACGACAAUAAUGGGUGUUGUUGAUGCACAAAAUCAGUGAGGACUUUGGUACAACAGAAAGUGUUAAGUUUGUGACAUUCUCUAGAUUACUCCGAUCACUAGUGUGGAUAAGUAUGUAAAUGGAUAAAGACAGGGAAGCAAACACAAGAUGUACGUGGUUCACCCAGAUUGGCUACGUCCAUGGAGUAAAUGAGUUCUUAUUAAUUGUGAAGGGUUUACACAAGUAUAUAGGUUCAAGCUCUCCUUUAGUGAGUACUAGUGAAUGAUUUAGUACAAAUGACAUUAGGAAAUAUUGUGAGAGAAUGAUCUCUAUUUAUAGAAGAGAGUUUCUAGUUUCAUUCUGACAUUGACACGUGUCAUGUUGUGAUUGGCUUCUGAUGUUGACAUGUGUUGCACUAUGAUUGGCUUUAGAUGUCAACAUGUGUCGCGUUGUGAUUGGCCUCCUGGUUUGAGGGAAACUCUUCUGGCUCCUUGACGGUAUAACGUUGAUCGAUGCUCAGUAGUUUCGGGAUUGGUCAAGUAUGGUACAAACAGGUGUAAUAUAAUCAUACUCAAUACUACUCUCACAUAAUAGCUGGGUGAUAAAUCGCUAGUCACCUAUGAGUCAGAACGAUAAUAAAGGUCUGUACGAAGACUGUGCACCUAAAUUGGAUCCAAUAUGACCAUAUGGUGCGGGAUGUGACAUUAUAUACAGGCUUGUGCCAUCACUGGCGGAGCUACACCCACGGCUACAGUAGGCUGUAGCCUAGGGAGGAUUUUAACAAACUGCUGGUAUAAUAGUUUAUAUAUGAGUUUGUUGUUGCUUAUUGUAUGUAUAAUAGCCCACAUAAAUCCUGCCAAAAUUAUUAGUUAAUGUGUUUCUUAAUUUAUAAAUAAUACUUUUAUUACCUUUUAUUAUUUUAUUAUUUUUAGGCUAAAAGUAAAAAUGGUAAAUUAAUACAUAAUUAGGUUUCUCCUAUUCCCCAUGCUUUUUACCUAUUCGUUCAAAACAAAAAAAUUAAACCCUCUACCCUAAGAAAAGAAAAACUAUGAAUCACCAUCAAAUUAUUUUCUAAUGAAAUUCAACACUAGAUAUGCUCUUCAUGUCUUCAUUUAACCUAUUUCUUGAUUCAAUUGUUCAUUCCAUAUAUCUACAGCACGACUUGAAUUGGUAUCCCCUAACCUUUUUUCUUUUGGGUACUUGUUAUCAACAAAAGUGAUAAUAUUUGUUCUCUUUCUAUUGCUUUUUUGUAUGCAUGUUUUAUUUGUGUAAAAAUUAGUUGGAAAGUAAUUAAUAAACUUGUUUGGAUUAUUAGUACUUCAUGUUCCUACUUUUAUGUAGAUUACUAUAUAAUUUUAUGUAGGCAAAAAAAAAAUUCAUAAGAUUAUAUGCUAAUGAUUUUAGUUAGCCCACCCAAGAAAAAUUUUCUGGCUCCGCUAUUAUGUGCCAUAACUCUGGCAAAAUCACAAUCACCCUAAGUGCAGUUUUAUGAGUUCAACGUUAUUCUAUCACAUAUCACAUCAUCGAUAAUUCACAUAACCAAACAUAACUCACAUGAGCUUACCUGAGCGUCCACAGUACCAUAAUUAUAUAUAAUGCAUCAUAUACGAAAUAUAAAUUCAUAUGCAUGGCAUUUAAGGUAUACUUUCAUUUAAACACAUAUUUCUGGGAAAAUAUCAAGUAUAUAAAUAUAUACUGAAAACCAAAAGCCCACUCAUUGGUAUGUCGAAGGGUCGUAGCCCCCGAGUCGCCUUUGAAUACUCUCGUCCUCGUGAUAAGUCUCACCUAUAUGCGAAUUAACUAUAAAAACGUUAUUUUAGAGCACAUACAAAAAAUUAGCUAAUAACUCUCAUACAAUGCUCAAUUUUUGUAUUUGAAUAUAUCACAGUGACCUACACAACCUCAAGAUCAUCCCUAAAUUUUUACAAUAUUUUUCUGACCCCUCACGCGCUGCCACGCACCGGCAAGGGCAACGCCUUACUCGCCCCCACGCGCGGCCACGUGACAAGCAUACUGAUGGCGUCAAUCAACAUCAUCAGGAAUAUUCUAGGGAAUAUUCUGUUAAAACCCAAUGGUAACUGUUAAAGAUGACUGACGGCAUGAGCAUAUUCUGUCAACCUUGACGGAAUAUACUCCUUUCUUCUCCGAUGAGUCGUCGGUCGCCGGCGACUUCGCCGAUUUCUUGGUAAAACUUUAAAUCGCUUAUUCUUCUUCGUUUCUUCGCCAUUUUUCAUGAAAUUGGUACCAAAAUGAAGCUAAUAACAUGUAGAAUCACUUUGUAUAAGUUUCAAGGCUUAAAAUCUACUAGUUUUUCCCUGAGAAAGCUCGAUAGUUCGGCUUACCUAGAUAUGCGUCGAUCUCAGCCCUCCGACGUCCAAUUCCUUCCAACGAAGUACCCCAAGACUCGUGAGGACCUCCUUAAGCUUCCUAUAAGCUUCAAAUUCCCUGAAACACAAGAUUUUACGUAUGCAUGAACAAUGCACAAAGUCGGAGCUAGGGUUUCCACGUGAAAUCGAAGGUUUCCUUACCUGAAAAUGGUUCCUUUGAAUUCGUAUGGUUCUCACGAACACAAUGGUGAUCUUAAAACCUUCGAUCUACAAGGUUUAAGAGGGUUUCUGGGUUGGUCCGUACGAAGAAGGGAGAGAGAGAAUGAGAAUCUGCGAGAGAGAGGGCACGGGAAGGAAAGAGAAAUAAGAUAGGUGUGUGUAUGGUCCAAAAGCCACCAAUCAAAACUAAGAAAAGUCUUAGUUGUAAUUGGGUCACCAAUCUAAAACAAUUUAACCCAAUAAUAACUUACACACAUCAUUUAACAUCCGAGGGUAAUUCCGUCAUUCUACGUCAUCGAGAAUAAUCUUCCGGGACGGGCUGUGACAAUAUCAGCAAUAUUUAUGUUAAUUAUGAAUAGGUCAAUCAUGUAUUUAAUACUUAAAUGUAUUUAAAAUAAACACCUUAUCAAUGUUUUCUGAACUGUGCUCGAUUUUUCUCCUUCGCUUUGGUUCUGUCCCAUUGGAUUUUUCAAGCAAGAUUUUAUCAAGGCAACUAUCAUUAACUGUGAACAUAAUUUAUCAUUGAGACACGAACAUCCAAGGGGGAGUGUCGUGGAAAAAAAUGUAGAUAUCUUUAUACGUUGUAUGGUAGUAAACCAUCAUAAACACCAUAAAUAUGUAGAAACGCCCUUGCGGUACCUUUGAAUGAUAACUCAUGUAUUUGUUGCCCUAUGUAAAGAUGGCUAAUGAUAAUGGAAGACUAAUUUUCUCAUCCCAAUCUCUCCUGUCUCUCUUAUUCUCUUUUCUCUAUAUUUUAUUUCCAACAAGUUGUGUUUUUUUUUUAGUAUUGUUAAGCAACCCAAUAGAUUUUAAUCGUAGUCUUUGUUUUUUUUCUUUUAUAUUUUUAAUCAAUUUCAGUUGCUUAUCAGUUCUAGCUAAUUGAGCUCUUUUACAGCAAUUUUUUUCUUUAAAUAAAAUUAUUAUUAUUAAAAAGAGUGAGAAAAUUCGAAAUUGUUACAAUAAUUUAAAAAAAAUAGGAGUUUCAAAUCAUGAAGGUAGAGGGAGUUAACAACAUUUUAGGGGGGGGUGUAGUCAAACUAGGAUUUUGAAGGAUUUUAAAAGUGAUAGAUUUGAUAGGAUUUAAGAUGAUUAAAGACUCUUACAAAAUUCAUAUGGAUUUUAAAGAAUAUGAAUGGAUUGCGGUGGAUUGUGGGGGAAGGAUUUGAAAUCCUAGGGGGUGAGGUUUGAUUCUUUUUAGUUUUGGUUAUAUAUGGUAUGCUUUCAAAUCCCAGAAAAUCCACAACUUUUUAAAAUCCUUUAAAAUCUUAAUUUUUUUAAUACACUUAGAUUUGGAUGGAUUCUAAAAUCCUUUAAAAUCUUUUAAUUGACUACACCUAGAUUUGAAUGGAUUCUAAAAUCUUUUAAUUGACUACACCUAGAUUUUAAUGGAUUCUAAAAUCCUUUAAAAUCUUUUAAUUGACUACACUAUGAUUUUAAAGUCUUUAAAAUCCUCUCAAAUCCAAGUUUGACUACACCCCCUAAAGAUUUUAAGGAAAACUAAUGAAAAUGGCUUGAAAACUUUGAGUUUUAACUAGGGGUGGGCAAACGGGUACAGGAACCGCGGGUAGGGGUGGGUAAUUCAAGUUCGGGGCAGGUAUGGGACAUGUCCAAUAUUUCUAAACACAAAACGGGGCGAGGCUGUUCGGGUAUAUGAAAUUAUCGGGGCGGGGCGGGUCUUAAAAUAGAAGGGAACGGGCCCCCAGCCUGACCCGUUUCUUUUCCUCAUCCCUAGUCUUCUCUAUCUCUCUUCCCCGACACUUUUCAUUUCACUCAAACCCGGCCCAUUUCUUUUCCUCAUCAGUCAUCCCUAGUCUUUUCAAUCUCUCUUCCCUAACUCCUUUCAUUUCACUCGUACCUCGAGACCUCCUCUUAACUCGCUCCCAGCCUCCCACCGUCCUAGCUCCGUACCUCGCCAUCAUCAUCGUCAGACCUCCAUCUCUCCUGAUUUACUCAUGUCUUCCUCGCUGCGUCCGCCGCCAUGUCUCUCUUUCUGUGACGAACUUAAAGGGACGGACGAAGUUGAACAACUCGAAACGACGCCUCUUCUGUCUGAAUUAGACCCAUAUUUGCAGCGCACGACUCUGCUCAUAGUCCUCUUCGGUUUUAAGGUAUUACGUUUUAGAGAUUUAGGAUUGAAAAUUAAAUUAGGGUUUUCUAGAUUUAGGGAUUUUGUUGGGUUCUUGAACCUUGACCUCUGUUAUGUUCCAAUUUCAAAUAUAUAUUGAAUUGAAUUUGAAUCGACUGUGUUUGAAACUUCUGUUGAAUUAAAUUGAAUUUGAGCAGGAGAAGAGGCAGAUGUGGGUUGGGCAAUGUCGAAUCUCAUUGUGGGUGGUGAGGUGGGCAUGGCGGGCGACAAUAUUGACUGGCAAUGGUACGGGCGGUGCUAUUAAGUUGCAGAAGAAUACGAAGGAGGGGGUGUGGGCAUGGGUGGAUAUCGCAAGCUCAAUUGAAUUUUUUCUGGUUUUGUUUGUGAUUAAUUGCUUGUAUAUGAUAGUUAUUGAUGGAUCUUGACAUGCCCAUUUAAUUGUUAUUGGCAAUGCUAGUUUGAUUGUAACAAAUUCAAACCGAUUGAAUUGUAUCCCAGAAAAAAAAAUCAAUAAAGGAACUGAGGACCCGGCCCGAACCAGCCCAUUUCAACCGGGCCAGGUUAGGUUCGGUUCUUAUAUUAGAAAAUGUUGUUCCCGGCCCGUUUCUCUUAAGCCCGGAUCCAGUCCGAUCACUUCGAAAUUGGCCCCAACCCGGCCCGGGCCCACCUCUAGUUUUAACGAUAAGGACAAAAUAAAGGGUAAAGUGAAUAGUACCAAGUUUGACUUUUUAGUGUAAAAAUGUAAUUUUUCGUUAAAAUAAGAUUUUAAUGGAUUCUAAAAUCCUUAAUUAAGAAAUUAGGCUUCAACCCAACUCAUCUUUGCAACGCCGGUUCCACUUCACAUCAACAGGCAAUGUUUUCUCCUCAACAAAUAGUAUUCUUUUAUGAGACAAAGACUAAUGAGGGUGAUAUAUAUAAUUAAUAAUAAUACUUGUGUUCCCUUUGUGAGUGAAUGCACUUAUUUUACCAUUCUCUAAUAAUGUAUCUUUAUUAUAUAAAUUUAUAUCAUGUGGAUAUCUUCCUAUAAAAAAGUUAUUCAAAUUGGAAAUCCUUACGUCAUCAAAAUAUAUAAAAAAAUGGACGAUCUCAUCGUAAAUAUGUUAGUUACUCACACUAUAACUUUGUAUAUUCCCUCACGUAGGAAACGCAAUAAUUAUCCUCUAAUUAAUUCUUCUUGAGAGUAGAAUUUUUAUUGUUGGUUUUUCGCAACCUUCAGACCUAAAGCUGAUAUGGACCUCUCAUUGUUUUUUGGGUUGCCGUUCUUAUUUUGCUUGGUCCUUUUACCUUUUCUAUAGUUGUUUAUCUAGUUCUUUUGAGCCUCGUACUAAUUUUUAAUGUAAUGAAAAUUAUCUUCGUGAUAAAAAAAAAAAUCAUUAGUCCUCGUAUGAACAUGCGAUGUAACACACUUUCAUGGAACAACAGAUGAUAAAGACGAUAUCCAAAUUUUCUCUGUGUUAUGUGGACUUUCCCAACCAAAUAAAUAAUAACCAAUAAACAAAUAAAUAAGAGUUUAACUUCAAACAUUGAGAAGCGAAAUUCCAACACUACGAGCCUAACUUUUGUCUUCAUCAUCAUCAUAGACUAGUCUCCUAUCCAUCAACUCCUACAUCAAUUUUUUUUUUUACUAGAUUGUAGCUCACUUUCAAAAGAGUUACGUAAAGUAUUUAAGCACCAUAAAAGAAAAUUAAACGACAACGAUUGACAUAAUAUUAGUAGUAUCAUGGUCUAAAAUAUUCAUAAUAUCUUGAUAUUUUUAUUGAAAUUUUCGUGUUUUUAGACUACCUAUAUUUUCAAUAUCAUCGAUAUUUUAAACCUUGCUAAGUCACUCAUGUAUCUUACCAUGCAAUGUAUAAAGUGUAAAAUAUUGUACUAAUUCAUUAUAUAUAAAUGAUUAUAGUGUGUUUAAACUUCUUUCAUUAAUUACUACAUAUUUUCUACACUCACAAUGUUUGCCAGCUCGCUAUAUAAUCAACUUAAAUCAAUUAUAUCUAUCAUGUAAUGCAUUUCCUUCCAAUUUUUUGUGAUAAACUAAUAGAUAAUUGACUAAAUAAACAUCCUGCAAAGUUUCAAUAAAAAUUUCCAAGUUUUUCUUACAAUUUCCGUAGUUUUUAUUCAAUUUUUAUCGAUAUCGAUAAUAUCCCGAUAUUUCCAUCGAAAUUUCCGUAUUUUUAGACUACUGAUAUUUCCGAUAUCAUCGAUAUUUUAUACCUUGGUAGUUAUACAUUUUAUCGGCCUCAUUUUUAUGCAACUUAUACAUUAAAUUAUUGUCAAAAUGUACAUAUAAAGUAGCUGAUCAACGAUGAGAUUUUAGGCAACCAUUUUCUUCUACGACGUCAAAGGUUGUAGAGGUGGCCAUGUGCACUACAUGCGUAAAUCAACUAGGGACUUGGAUCCUCUCUUAAGCCCAAGGAGAGGAUCCUCCUAACCAAAUGACUUGGAUUGUUGGAUGAAAAUCUAACGAUUACAAACAGAUGAUCUCUUUAAAGUUAUAAUAUUUAUUACCGUUGAAUUUUCAUCAAACGGUCAAAUAUCAUUGGUCAAAAGGGUCCUCUCAUUGGGCUCAGAGAGGACCCAAGUGCAUCAACCAGAACUAUUGCUAUUAUAACAAUUCAUGAAAUCAAUUAAACAAUAAUUUUCCUUCUGGCAGGCAUGUUAGUUAUUUCUUAUUUGGCCAAUUGCCUAGUGGAUUUGGUAGAUUUAACCUCUCCACCACAAACACAUUUAAAAAUUUCCAGAAAUCCGUAACGUAAAAUUUAAAAAUAAAUAUUAAUAACAGCAAGUUCUUUUCACCGACCGUGACCGAGAUCUGUCACAUAUCCAAAAUGUCACCUCCUUAUCGCAAAAACCAAAUUUGACUUGGGAUAAAUACCGUGUACAAAUUAAACGCGUUUCUCUAGCUUUUGCGUAAAGAGGCAACCCAACACUAAACUAGGAAAACGUUGGGUUGACAAAGAUACCAUGAAGAAUAAAGGGGUUAUGCAAUCCACUUUGCAAGAUAAUCAAAGUUUCCCGUUGUAGACUUGUCUUAACCCAACACUAAACUAAGAAAACGUUGCUUUCCCGUUGUAACAUGAAACAACAUUAAACAACAUUAAACAAUAUUAAAUAACAUUAAAUAACAUAAAAAUUAUACAACAUAAAAAAAACCAUUUAACAACAUAAAACUUAAAAUGCGUACUUCUUGCUUCUUGUGGCCUAAAGAUGUGCAACAAGAUCUUGAUGUAGGUACUUGUUUGUGGCACGAAAACGUAUCAUCCUAGCCGUUGGAUUUGAAUUUUUUUUGUUUUCGGCCAAAAAAUUUUAAAUUUAAAAGUUGAAGAUGGUGAGAAAUAUGAUCCUACACUGUUCAUUAAAAUAUUAAUUUCUUGAAUGACCAAAAGGCUAAAACAAGCCAUCCUUCGGUUGGAGAUGCCUAAGGAGAGACUAGAGAUAGAGAGUUUCCUAUAUAUGAUUUUCAUUAACAAGAUUGAAAUGAUUUCAGAGAGAAGAUCAAGUAUGGUUAUUUUUAUUUUGUAGAGUGUAGACAUUAUAACUAUACAUUCAUAAUAACAUGAGUAAUGUUAUAUUUAUCACAUUUGUACUCUUUCUCUGAUAAAGGUAGGGUUCAUCAACACAUGUGGGUUCUAUUUGCCCAUCAACACAUGCGGAUCUCAUUUUUAUUAGAAAAAUAGUACAAAUAUGGUACGGAAAAUAUGAUAAGAUCGCAAUUUUGUAAUAACAUAUAUACUCAACUAUUUAUAUACCGACCCAUCUCCUUUUAGUGUAGAUAAUAUCGUUUGUUAAAAAAAAUGUUGAACUUGUCAUAAUCAUUGAAUCCAUUUACCAUGAACAAACGGCAGUUUACUAAACUUGCCCUCAGAGUAUAUAUAAAAGGUGAAUCACAAUCUAUUGCAUUAAUAUAAGGAAACAAUUUAUAGGGUUUGACGGGUGACUUAAUAUGCUAUAUGGCACAAUGAAAAUUAAGUUCACACUUUAUCCCAAAUAAGGUGUUGCACCUUUAAUUUAUGGAUGCUGGUUUGACGUGUGACCGAAAUAAUCAAAUUGUAGCCAUUAAUCAUUUUACAAGUAAUAAUAUGUAGUUUUUACUGUUUACGAUUCACACAACAAUCUGCUAGGAAGUAGAAAAUGCAGUACUUGUCCCUCUCACAGAAGUCAUGAAUAAUUAUCAAAUUCAAAGAUAAAGAAAAACCACACAAUUUACAAGAGGAAAGAAAAUGAAGGGAUAAAGAAAGUAAGAAAGGAAUACCUCUAUGGGAGGACUCUUAUUUGCUUCAGAUGCCUACAAUAUUCAUCAUAUAAACACUGAUUAAGUAGUCAUCGAAAACCAAAACAAAUGUCGAACAUAGGGUGAAAAACAGAAAGAAUAACCGCAGCUCAUCAUACCAAUAGAGAUAGAACUGCCCGAUGCCCAAGUAUGACUGAAAAAUGGCAAUCCAAACAUGGCGCCUUCUAGCUCAUCAAACUGUCAAAACCUAGGUUCCACCAAAAAGAUACAAGUCACCUAGUUACUUGUAAAAUAAAAAUCUGUUUCAAAAUAGUGGAAAAUAUUAUUAACAUUGUUCAAAGUCCACAUUGUUGUACCUACCAAGAAACAAGAAGGAUUGUAUCUUAUCAUGAAAAAGAACAUAGGUACCUUUUCAAUUGUAAUUGUACAAAAAUGAGAGACCACUUCCGAACUUCUCUUGGAACUUCAAUCAAUUUCUGCCCACUUUUAAAUGCCUUGACAUACUUAAGCCUAUUUCUUUGAGCUUCAGUUUUGGCUUCUGAUGCCUUUAAAUUUCUUAAAGAUUCUUACCAAGUUUUACAAACUCACUUCUAUACAACCAUUUGUCAGUAUACAUACCAUUUUCUUUGAGCUUCAGUCUUUGCAACACCAAAACCCCCCAAAUAGACCCGGAAUUUUGCAAUGUGCAGGGAAUAUACAAAAAAAACCCUCCUAUCCAUCUAAAACGAAAUCAGAACCCAAACCACAAUCAAAAUCCGUAAAAUUAAUUUAGCCAACCCUAAAUCUAAUAAUUCUAACAAAUAUUAUAGUAUCAAUUGAGAGAGAAUUUGAGAAGAUACCUAGAGAUGAAAGGAAGAGCGUUUCCUCUGAUAGGGGUUCCGUGAAAGCAUCUGUUGACCAGAAAAGAAAAGGCAAAAAACCCCAAAUUACAUAUCAAGCAAUUAUAGAUAGAUCGAACCUUGAAAAUUGAAAUUUCAAACAAGAGAAAGGUUAUAAACUUACAACGAUCUGGGUGUUGGUUACUGGGUUUGGAUUUGGGUUUCUGAUAAGAGAGAGAAUCGUAUGAGGAACCGAUAGAGGAACUGCACCGGCAACAGAGAGCAACUGAUAUGGUGGAGAAUAGAGAUGGGCAAAAUAUCCCGGUUAUCCGCCCAUUUAAAGUUCACAGUUACGGUUAUGGUAAUUGAACGGUUAUGGGUACUACCCGUGGUUAUAACGGGUAUCUAUUGGUUAUGGGUAUUAUCCGCGGUUAUAACAGGUAUUCAUUUACCCAUUUAAUUUCAUAUAUGUAAAAUUUAUAAUAUUUUUAACAGUUAUAACGCGUUUUUGUAUUUGUUGCCAAACUUUUCGUAUACAAAAAAUUUGAAGCACAAGAAGCCAACAAGGAGAAAGAUCAAAGAGCUUACUUGAAGCUUAUGAUCUAUCCUGCGGUUAAUAGAAAGUACUGGUAUUAGUGUAGAAAAAUGUUUGUUUUUAGAAGCUUUAUUUUGUAAUCAUAUGAAUUAUAAUUAAAGACUUGCUUGGGUGUAGUAAAAAAAUAUCGUUUGUAAACUAUUAUUUCAAUUAUUAGAAUUGUAUGAUGACCUAAAUGAUUAAAAUAGAGAAAUGCAUGCUAAAAUGUAUUUAUAACAGUGUUUAAUUGUCAGAUUUUUUUUUUUUUUGUAAUUUUCAAGUUGUUAAAAAAAACAUGCAGAGAGGUGAAAAAAGGGAUUAAAAAAUGAUAAACGGGUUCAAAACGGGUAAACGGGUAAAUGAUUAUGGUUAAAUAGGUAAACGGUUAUGGGUAAAUGGGUACACGGUUAUGGGUAUGAGUAUAACCGUUUAUGCAAUUACCCAACGGGUAAACGGCUAUGUGGGUAUGAACAUAAAUGGUUAUGAGUAAAUAACCGCGGUUACCCGCCCGCUAUAACCAUUGCACAUCCCUAAUAGAGAACAUACGAGAAUAGCCGCUUGGAUGGUCAAUCCAAGAAGAGAAAAUCUUGCCACAAUCACGGUACUUGAAAAAAAAAACAAUUUUAAAGGAGGGAAACAAUCGCGCCUUUUUUUUAAUAGACUCUGUCGACGAUAUUCUUGACAAAUAGUCGGGUGAGCUUAUUUUUCACAACAUUUUAUUUAGGACUAGGUUCGGUUGGCAAAUCGUGUCAAAUUUCUUGUGCCAUUUGCCAGCCACAUAUACAUAAUUACCAAAAAUCAGUUACCGUUCGCCAACCAUCUUCUUGCGGUUGCCAAAAAUCGGUUCAACCAAAAUGAUUGGCUGGUUCGGUUGGUAAAUGGCACAACCGGUGGUUUCCACUUCUUCCUCGCUAUCUUCUAGUUGCAAGGGCUCAAUUUGAUUUUCAGAUUGGGAUGCUUGUUCGGUUGCAUUGUGUGGUUCAUUUUGGGUUAAUCCAUGUUGUGCACUAGCAAUUAAUUGGCUAGACUCCAUCAUCCUAAACAUAAGCAACACAUAUACAUUCAAAAUCAUAUAUAUGUACGUGUAUAUAUAGUAUCAGUAAUCAUCAUGUUAUCAAUUUUGUUAACAAUAUUUUCUAUAUUGAUUAUGGCAUGAAUCAUAUACAUAUACAUAUAUUUUUUAAACCCUAAAACUAAGGAGUUAUUUAUUUUCUAAGCCCUAAAAUUGAGGAGUCAAGCAUGUAAAAAAAUACUUAAAAUAUCUAAAUAGAAAAAGAAAAAAAAAAAAAAAAAUAUAUAUAUAUAUAUAUAUAUAUAUCGGUAGGUAUGGCAUACCGCCGACAUACAAAAUCAAUUACCAAAGCCAUGCCAUUAAUUGUCGGUUCGGUAAAAUGCCAACCGAUUAUGAAAAAAUGCCAAAACUAUACCAUACCAUUUUGAGCCAACCGGUAUGGUUCGGUCGGUAAAUCGGCUUAUGGCAAAAUUUCUCACCCCUAAUUUUAUUUGUCGCCUUAAACCUAUUGGUUUCUAGCCUACAAUUUGGAUAUUUUGUUGGGGAAAGAUUUUUGUACCAAUAAAAUUUUGCUUUGUCAGCUUAGGAUUUGUCGGCAAAAUGACAUUUUCUAGUCGUUAUAAUAUUAGGUAGAUCAAAUUUGUAAACUAUGUGAUGUGUCACCAAUAGGAAAAAAAUUCAGUGUGCUGAAAAUACAGUCUAGAACACCAAGUGUCAUAAUAUAUACUUGGUUGGAAAUUUUUUAUUUUCAAGUUUCCAACUAAUUGUAUUGUAACAGUUGGUGUUCCAAGCUAUUUUCUCGAUGCGUUGGAAAAUCUCUUCACCAAUUAAAAAUAAACAUAUUAAUUAACACUUAAGUAAUAAUCAAAGUAUCAACAACUACGUCAUAAAAUUUACGAAAUAUGAUCUUAAUUAAUGAUCUCCAUGGCAUUACCCUUUAUCUUAGCGUAUACGUACGCCUUCACAUGUUUAUUUGCUGAUAUGCAGCUUGAGUAAAAAUUUCUUUUUAAGAACAUAUAUGUGAAUAUAAACAUAUAUAUCUAGUGAUCCAUGUUGCGUUAUUUAAAAAUAAACAAAUUAAUUAAUUAAUAAAUGAACUGUGUGCAUGUCUGUGUAGAGUAAUCCAUAUGCAUGCUUGAAUCCUGAUCACCACGAAACCAUAAUAUAAGCUACUCAAGGCCCGGAAGCUAGGAUUGAAGAGAAAAACACCCAGUCAGAUUAAGCCAAUAUAUCAAAGUUAAUACUUCGAAAUGUAAGCUUUAAGAUAGAAAAAUCACUUACUACCUUGAGCAGUCGAGCUUCUUCAAUGGCAUGAAGCUUUUAGCAUGAGAUUGACUGCAUCACAACUAAAAUUUUCUCUUGGAAACUACAUAAGGAAUAGCAUGUAUACCUAUAACGUUGAGAAAGUACGCCAAUUUUUUCCUUCUGCACAUUCAUGUUUAAAAGUAAUCCUCAAAUGAACUUGCCCACAAUGAAAUGCAAUUUGAGGUAGUCGAGUGUGUUCCAUUUCCAUUCCAUGGGAAUUACUACUAAACUUUGAGAUGGUAAAGGAUUCAUGAAAUUUUUUACUUUUGAGAUAGCCUCUUUAACAUUUCUCGACUAUAACAAUGAGGGAAUACUUCACCUUGUAUCAAACAAGGGAGAGCGAAAAUCAACUACUAAUAGCAUCACAGAGCCAGCAGAAGAUUGAGGAGGCCAUGAAGAGGAGAGAGAAAAUACACUCUUUUUUUUUGUAAGGACAGAGAUAAUACAUUCAGUAAGGGGUACUGAUGUUUAUAUGCAAUGCUGAUUAGGUUUAAAUAGUCCUAUUUAUUCUGUACAGUGCCAAUAUUACCACCCGUUAGUACACUUUCAAGACACUGUACUCCAGUGUGUGCGCUAUGCAGUACGUAGUACUCCUCAUUUUUUGGGGAAAUUCAUUAUUGGUCUUCAUAUCUUCUUUAUUUUCCUUUUCCUCAUUGUGCCACGUGUUUAAAUCACUAAUUGUAGGUAAUCUUUCAAUUUAAUUAAAUCUUAUGUAAAAAAAGAUAUUUAAAUAUCAUUUAGUAUUACAAGAUAGUGAUAUUCCUCUUUAGUAUAAAAUUUUUAUAAUUAAAAGCGUUCAGUUUUUUAAUCUUCAUUUGAAUACUAUCUAUAAAGAAAAAUUAUUCGAAUAAGAGAUCGUUUAUGCAUUCAAAUGUACAAAAUGCAUCGACAGUGUGAGAACGAAUUAAUAUAUUUUUGAUGAAGUACAAUUAUUGAAUACAUUUGAAUGAUCAAAUGAUAUAUGAUUCAAAAUACAUAUUAAGAUAAUAAAUAUAAGUGAAUUGUUAUUAGCACUCCAAGAAUCUUAUUAUACACUCUAAAUUUUCUAUAUUUUGAAUGAAAAAUAAAUUUAUGAAGAGUGUAGAAUGAGAUUUUUUAAUGCUAAUAACACUUCUCUAAAUAUAAUUAUGAAAUUAAUAAAGUAAAGAUACAUGACCUCGUGAAUGAUGUAUGUAUUAUUCAAAAAAUUAUUAAAAACAAAUUGAAAAAGGACGCUGUUGUUGCCACCACUUAUGCAAUGAUCGUCGCUGCCAUCACCAACCCCCAACACCCCAUUACAGCUCAUAAAAGCACAUCAUAAGCAAUUUAUGAAAUAAAUUUACUGGAAUACUAAUUUCCCCCUUAGUUUAGGUCACCAAUGUUUAAAUUUAGGGGUGUGAUAUGCACAUACCUUUUUUUGCUUCUCUCACACUUUUUUUGUUGUUGUCGAAUCAGAUGAAUUGAAGAAGAUCAAUUGACAGAAAUUAACAAGGGGUGUAUGAAAAGUAAAAAUGGAUGUGUAGAUAACACAUCCCUAAAUUUAUCACAACUUUCAUUCCAAAUUUAAUUUUUAUGCGUAGUUUUGUUUGUUCAAAUUUACUUUGACAUUUCAAUUAGUAUUAAAAUCUAAUUUAAAUUUUAGCGUUCAAGCUAGAAAAAGUGUUCCAUUUAAUAUUUAAUCUCAGUUUUUCUCUUUAUUCUUUUAUUCCGAUUUGGUUGCAUCGUAUCUCCAUUUUUCUCGGUGUUGUAUGUUCAUAAGGCCUGGGAAACGUUGGCACGGAGUGAAGGGUACUCACUUUUUGGCCCAAAAUGCAUAAGGCAUGUAGAUAUGUUAAUCAAAUUUUGUAAACUAAAGGAUAUAGAAGUUGAUACUUAGAUUAUAAUUUAAGAUAAUACUAAAGAGACUAAAUUUGCAAACUAAAUGAUGUGUCACCAAUAAAAAUAAGCACGUUUAUCAACGCUUAAGUAAUAAAUCAAUCAUCAACUUUCAUGUCCUUUAGUUUCCAAAAUUUAAUAUACAAAUUUAGUCUCCCAAGCAUUACUCUAUUACUUAAGUAUUGAUUAACAGACUUAUUUCUUAUGGUGACAUAUUAUUUAAUUUACAAAUUUAGUCAACCCAACAUUACUCUUUUGAAAUUGUCUUGUCCACUGAUAUAAUUCUAUUUUUCUUGUGAUCAAAACUUCAAAUGUUAGCAAGUCGCACGUAAAGUCACUUCUGAGAGAAUGUGCUCACAUUGUAGUUGAAAGAUUAUGUGGCUAGCAACAUUACAAAUUUAAUUUGGUAUAAUUUAAAAUAUAGAUUGAGGAAAAAAUGAUCACAUUAACUAGAAACUGAAAAGGUUUCAGCACAGUUUGUUCAAGCAAGAAACUCAAUUUUGAUGCUACCGAUCUUAACAGCCUGAGCGCCGUACCUGGGCACUAAAGUCACCACCACACUCUCAUCAUCUUCAGCACCCAAAUCCUCCAACAGGUCCGUUAACCCCAACCUUAAACAACUCUUGCUCUUUUCCUUCUGCUUAUGUGGAACACUCACAAAACUCCCAGCAAACUCGCUCUUGUCGGGUCCACUCGGUGCCGCAUCCUCAUCGUCCACGUCAUUCACAUACACAUCAAACUUCACAGCCACAUCUUUGUCAAGCUCAAUCCCCUGAAUCACCAGUAUCUCCUCCUCAUCCUCUUUCUCCUUCUUGCUCCUCUUCUUCGGCUUCGGCCUUGACACCACCGUACUUAUCUUUGUCUCCAAAUUUAUUGGAAAAUCUUUACCCGCCACCACCUUCCCCGAUGACGUCGUCUCAGCGGCCUUCGCCACUCCAGCCGCCUUUGCCUUUCUCGCAAGCUUUGUCCGACGUGGCGUCGGUCUAGACUUGAGCCAUGGAAUCUCAACAUCUUCAUACGUAUACCCUAGCUUUUUAUUAUCAAGAGUGUCCCUCACCGUGACCCUAACAAGCUCAGCAUUCUCGUCAUAAAACAAAAACCCCGUAUCCAACCAAUCCUUAUCGUUAAUAUCUUUAUUUUUAGUCCCUAUACUUUUCCAAAUAUUCCACAUUCGAUCUAUAUUCGAAUGGUGCGAAAAAAAUAUUGGAUCCCUUGCAGCGGAGUAAAAAUUCCCCAUGUCUUCAAAAUUAGGUUGCGUGUUAUCUCCGGUCCAUGUAUGAACCGGACCAUGUGGGGUCGUUUCGAUUGAACCGGCCCCUGGAUCUGGUUCGGUGCCAGCCCUGUAGGGCGAACCAAAGAACAACAGCGGUUUCUUGGAGUUGGAAACCAUCUGCCUAUACAUGAUUUUGAGGUUGGCGUCGAUUUGAGCAUCCUUGGACAUUGUUUCAUCCGUGCCGUUAAAGUCAAGAUCGAUGAGAGUCGGCGGCUGAUGGCUGGCAGCGCGGAGCUCGUCGUAAAGCGGAGAGUCCGGGUUAGCGAACAAGGCAGGGAGUUGCAUGCCAGCUGGCGCGUCCCAGUUCCAAAACGGCAACGCGAACGUCGGAUCGUCUAUGAGUUUGGCCAAGAUUCUUUCGUGGAAGUAUAGGUAGUAACGAUGGAAGGGGAAGAAAAGCCAGGAUUGAUGGAUUUGGAGCUCGAGGUUGGGGAAGCCGACUUGAUCGUACGCGCCGUCGCAAUAGGCACAGUGGAUAUCGGCUUGCUGGGUGAAGCUACGCGGAUCGUCGUCCGGGAGGGCUUUCAUGAGCUCGAUGGCUUUUGAAUAUUUUUCGAUGUAGGCUUUAUCCACGGUGUGAGCUGCCGGCCUGACGCGGAGUUUGGUAGGGGAGGGGAAUUUGAAGUCUACGAUUUUUUGGGACGUUGGCGGGCAACAGUUGGUCGGGACUGCUCCACUUGGAAAGUCCGCACCUCCGCAUUUGGCUAGGUCAGGCGGCGACACUGGCUUUGCAACAGCGAAGGGGUCGCUGCCAAGACCAGCCACUCCACCGUACAGGCUUCCGAGACCUAUAAGUACAUGUCUUCUGUCUAGGUUUACUGGAGAAAGGUUUUCAUGGUCGUGAUCGUUGGAGCUAGUGGAAGGGUUUUUGUUUUGGUCACUACUAUUAUUCGUGGCUUUGCAUGAGACGGCUUGUAAAUUGGAAUGCCUAGGGUUUUCAAAUAAGGAAAUUCGGUGAUACUUUUGGGAGAAAGGGAAGAGAGAAGUUGUGGGGAUGAUACUUGUGGUGGAGGUGACGAGUGGAGCUGACAUAGAAGCCAUGGUUACUUGACUCUGAAUACUACGUUGUAUAGGCUUUGCUUUUAUAAUGUGUUCUAGGUUUUACUUUUCUUUGCACAGGUGGCAGGCCGUACACAUUGGCGGUCCUUAAGGGUUUGACGAGGAAUACUACGUAGUCAUUUAGUACAGGGCAACCAUGCACUAUAGCACGUGGCAUGUAAUAUUUACGUAGUCUCAGAAGGUGAAGCGGUUUUGGGCUUCUUGUGUACCAAUAAUAUUUACGUACUCAUUAUUCCACUGGAUGGAUUGCGUGCACGUGAUCUUUAUUCAAACAAAUCACUAUUGACCAUAUAUUGCAAUUGGUUAAUGUUAGGCAAAUUAAAUUUUUACAUCAAAUAAUGUGGUUGCUGAUUAUUGAAUUAUUAUUUAAGUUUGAUUAAUGUGCUUAUUUUUUAUCGGUAAUACAUCAUUUGAUUUGCAAAUUUGAUUUACCUAAUAUUACCAGUUAUAAUUUGUAUAAAUGGACUGGUACCUAACAUUACCAAUUGUAAUUUGUAUAAAUGGACUCGUACCUAACAUUACCGGUUGUCCCAAGAGCACACGCUACUGCUCAAGAAGCAAAGUUCUUAUUUGCCCAAAAAAAAUCAUGGUUUUUUAAUUGAUGCUCUCAUUUUAAUUUACUAGCCCCUUACUUGGCCCUUUUUAUUUAUCAUUUUAUACAUAUUAAUAUUUUGUUUGUAAAAUAUAUUAGUGUUAGUUUUAUCAAAAUUAAAAAUAAAUAAAAAACUUAGCUUUAGUAUUUAGUUAUUGAAAUUGUAAAAAAAGUGAUAAAGUAUUGGGUGCUUUGUUUGAAAAUUUUCAAAAUGAUAUUGUUUUUACCACUGAACCCCUGUUAUAUACAGUGAUGGCUAAUUUGUCAAGUUCUACGAAGUUGGGAUACCCAGCGUUUUAGCAUAUAACAUAGCUUAGUAUUUCAAGCAUAAUUAAUUAACGAAAAAUUAGUAUCCGGUCCCUAGUUUUUACUGUUCAUUGACUAAGACCUUAUUAGUUCUCAAAUUUUGAUUCAAGUCCCUAGCAUUAAUGUGAUAAUGAAUUUACAUGUUUAUUAUAUAAUUUUUUAAUAUAAAAAUUAGUAAUUAAUUUAGGGUUUAAUACUCACACCUCUAUUAAACUUCUAAUUAAUUUUCAAUUCAGACAUUUCCAAAAUAAUAAAAAAUUAAAUUAAAUUAAGUUUGUACCUAUUAGUUUUUUUUUAUAUAUAAAAAGAUUCUCAAUUUUUAAUCUUAAAUGUACAUCUUAAAUGUACCCAUUCUCAAAUAUAUCAAUUUGUUAUAUGUAAAAUGUACCCUUUUUUAAUAUAAAAUCCAUUCAAAAUUUUUAAUCCAUGUUUAAACUUAUAUGGGUACAUUCUUUUUCGUUGAUUUGAGAAUGUAUCCAUGUUUUGGUACAAUAAAUUUUUUGUUAAUUUUGGUUAAUGUACCCAUACAUAUAUGUACACACACACACACACACACACACACAAUAUAAUAGAGAGUAUAAUUUAUAUUUUAUUAUUUUUAAUCCCAUAAAUGAUGGGUUUUAUUUAAAAUCUCAUUAAUAUAAACAAUUAUAAAUUUCAAUUUUUAAUUUUUAAUUUAAAAAAUAUAGUAACUUACAUUAUUACAUUAAUGUCAGGGACCUCAAUAAAAAACUAAAAACUAACAAGGUUUCAAUCAAAGAAUAUUGAUAGCUAGGGACCACAUCCAAAGUGUCCCUUAAUUAAAGGGUAAAUUACAUAGUAACCCCUCAGGUUUGAUGUCUAUUACAACCCCAUACAACAUCUUUAAAACAUUUCACUUUCAUACCUCAAGUACUAUUUUAUUUCAAUAUAAUACAUCUGUUAGAUUUUCCAUCCAUUAAUCCGUUAAAUGCUGACAUGGAUACCACAUUUGUGCCACGUGGCUGCCAAAUGCGUGUCAUGUGGCAAAAAUAAUAAUUUUUAAAUUUAAAAAAAAAUGAAUCUUCAACCCAAAAAAAAAAAAAAAAAAAAAACCCCAAACCCAGAUCCCAUCAACCCCCCCCAAACGAUUAUCCCUUCCCCAUAUCCCCCAUCCCACCCCCCAACCCCCCCUCUGCGACCAACCUUACCAUAGCGCCCCCCAACCUCGCGACCCACCUCACUCAAGGCCCUAAUCCACACUACCUACAACCCAGAAACGAAAAAAAAAAACAAAAAACAAAAAACUCAUCUCCCUUUCCCUGCAACCCAAAUCCCAUCUUCCCUAAUGGGUAUGGAUUUAAGAAGUGGGGUGUGUAGAGGAGGGAAGAGGGUGGGUGCGGAGGAUGGGUAUGGUGGGUUGCAAGGAAGGGGGGUCGGGUAAGAUGAAGAUGGGUUUUUUUUUUCUCUCUCUCUUCUUCUUCUUCUGGGUUGCAAGUUGUAGGUUGGGGUUUUUUUUUGGGGGGGGGGGGGAGGGAGGGAGGGAAGACGACGUGGGGUUUGGUUUUUUUUUUUUAAUUUAUUUAGAAGAUUUAGGUUUUUUGAAAAAAAAAAAAAAAUUCCACGUGGCACAAAUGUGGCAGCCACGUCAGCAUUUAACAGAUUAAUAGAUGGAAAAUCUAACGGAUGUAUUAUAUUGAAAUAAAAUAGUACUUGAGGUUAGAAAGUGAAAUGUGUUGAUGCACAAAACCGAAGGUCUUUGAACAACGUAAAUCCGAUCGUGAAUAUGCAAGUAAUGUAAAUAACACAAGAUGUAUCGUGGUUCACUCCAAUGUUUGGGCUACGUCCACACUGAUUAUUGUAUUUCUCUGAGAGGUGAGGGGGAGAGCUUUGAGAAAGCUUAGAGCUUAGGGGAUGUGAGAAGGCUUAAGAAUUGGCCUCCCUUAUUUGUGAGGGUGAUGAGUCCUUUUAUAGAAUAAGGGAUCCUCACUUAUUACAUAUUUGCCCAUUCCUUUAUUACAUAAUUACAUUUAAGUCCCCUGAGUACUUGUACAAGGUCUAAAUACGGAGGCCCUAAGUAUGGUACAAACAGUAGUCCCCCAAGUCUUCAGUCAAGAGAGUCUUUUGGCUAGAGACUUGAAAUUCUGUCCAUGUGUGAGCCGAAAUAACUAGAUGUCGUCUAGAACUGAUAUUUGAUAUGCGGCAGUGCCCAUUUUGAAAUAAUGCUCAACUAGAAGUAGCACAUGCUGCGAGGCUGCUCUGCUUGUGUUGCCUUGGUUGGCUCGACUUGUGGCGUUGAAGGUGAGAGAGUCCCUUUUAUAGAAUAAGGGCUCGCUCCUCAUUACAAAGAUGAUGGGUUAGUUGGUGCUUGCGGUGAGGCGGAUGCUCAGCUGGCGGCGAUGCUCUCUAAUGAUAGUGAGGGAGUCCAUUUUAUAGAAUAAGGGAUCGCUCCUCAAUACAUAAAUAAUAGGUGCUCUCUAAUGAAAGUAAGGGAGUCCCUUUUAUAGAAUAAGGGCUCACUCUUCAAUACAUAAAUAAUGGGCUAAGUCCCCUAAGUAUUUUUUAUGAGGCCUAAUUGAGGCCCAAUAUAUGGUACAUAAUGUAGUCCCCCAAGUCUUCGGUCAAUAGAGUCUGUUGGCUGGAGACUUCAAAUUGAAUCCAUGUAUGGGCCGAAGUGGCGGUUGUUCGGAAGCGGUAUUUGUAUACCCUGCACUGAAGCUUUAUAGGUGAAGCUUUGCAAGUGAAGCUUUGAAGCUGGAGCUCAGUAAAUGAAGCUUUUGAAGCUAGAGCUUUUGUAAAUGAAACUUUUGAAGCUGGAGCUCUAUAAAGGAAGCUUUUGUAAAUGAAGCUUUUGAAGCUGAUUCACAUGAGUGAUGCUCAUGAAUGUUUAUGUUGAUUGAUAUGAGUGAUGCUUAUGGAUGUUGACAUGAGUGAUGCUCAUGGAUGUUGACGUGAUGCUCAUGAAUGUUAACAUGAGUGAUGCUCAUGAAUGUUUAUGUAUGAUUGAUAUGAGUAAUGUUCAUGAAUGUUUAUGUAUGAUUGACAUGAGUAAUGCUCAUGUAUAAUUUGAAGUACUGGGCAUACUUUUGAUUACCUGGUUGGCGAUAAUAGCGGCAGGGUGCCGAAUAAUUUUUUGUAGUACUGGGCGUACUUUUGGUCACCUGGUUGGUGAUAAUAGCAGCAGGGUGCCGAAUAAUUUUUUGUAAUACUGGUCGUCCUUUUGGUCACCUGGUUGGUGCUAUUUUGAGCUUAUGGGCCUUCGCCCUCUACACAACAUUCCAGCCUAUUUAUUUUGGGCUUUACCGUUUUUUUUAAUUACCCUAUGAUGGGGUUUAUACAGAUGUCUCCGAAAGAUAUGAAAAAUAAAUUACAUCAUUCAAAAAUAAAUCCGACCCUCUGCUCAAUGGGUCACGCCAAUAAUUCUUUUUUUUUAUGCAUGCCAUCACCACCGCAAUUAUGUCUGCUUCUUUUUAUCUUCUUUUGCUUUCUGCUUUUGCUUUUACUUUAUCUUUCUCUUUUGGCAUAUGGCAGACAACGCCAAAACGGAAUAAUGAAUUAUUAUGAGAACAUGAAUCUUAUCUUUUGCCUGGUUUUCCACUAGUGCUCGUGGUAUUCUCAGGAGAUUGGAUCUGGGGGUAGGCGACUACCCCAGCACCUUGCCCUGAUACGUAAUAGCCUGAUGUCCCACUGCCAUCUCCAUACUGGAAGGUGUACGAACAAUGGUUAUUCUGUGUGGAACAAAUAGAAUCCGAUUGAGAUUCAAGACUGCACCUUCGAUCUGAGCAAGAAAUGAAUUGUGACGUUGAUGAACUUCUAGGAGGAGAAGCAGAGGAUCUUUGACUAUGAUGAUCUUUGAAUUCCAGAUGAAACUGAAUAAAAUGCAGGUUGUGGAGCUUGAUGUGGGCCCAGAUCUGCUUGACAGCUUUGGGGCGGGAGGAUUCCUUGACACUGAGGAAGAUUCCCAGAGCUGGAGGGAUGAGAAUCGACUUCAUAAUCCCGAUGGUGGGUUUGUGCUUGGUCGAAAGAUCAUUUCUGGCAGGGGAAAACAUGUACCAUACCUAUUGCAAAUCUUGCAAAUUCUCUGCUUCUCCAUGGAAGAUGAAGAGCAUCGAAUCUCUGUUUUCUCUCUCUCUCUCUAAAACGUUUUCGUUAUAGAGUGCCCCAAUAGAAGUGGACGGGCAGUGAGCAUGCCAUUUAGUGCCUCCUCCAAGACAGUAACUGAUACGGUGGUCUUUAUUGGCACUCCAAGUUUACUAAAAAGGGCAGCAAAAAUAGUAUUUACAGCACCCAAACUUGAAAGAUCUAGCUCCAACUAGUGGCUUUCUGUUUCAACAGCCUGAAAGCCGGCAGUGUCAUACCGACGCCGUUUGUCUGGAUCAAAUAAUAUAUUAUAAGAAAACAUGACCUUCUUGAAGAUAUCAGCUGUUUUAGAGUCAUUAGCAUUUUUGUCAGGAUGGUACUUGAGAGCCAUUUUCCGGUAAGCACUUUUGAUUUCCUGGUUGGUGGAAUUCCUAUUGAGGCCGAGGACCGCAUAAGGGUUUUGUCGGAGCUGCUUCUUAGCUUCUUGCUUCUCCGAUUUUGAUCGGCUGCCCUGCAUUUUUGAAAUUGACGGUCAAUUUCUUCACAAAACCCUAGAAAUUGCCUCUCGAUUACCUCCGAAACACAUAAUUCACGACUCUUGGUUGAAAUUUUUUUUUUUCAUUUCAAAGAAGUGGCGGAGGUAAAUCAGUUGUCACAUAGCACCGGAGCAUGAGGAAAACCUAGAAAACCAAGAGGCAGAGAGACUCCAUGCACAUCUAACCUGGAACCUUGCAGGAGAGAGCAGAGAGAAAGAGACAAGAAAGAUUGAGGGAGAAGCGAUCUUGGUGCAUCGUCUGUGAUUCCUUGGUGAUUUGCUCGAUCGGGACUCUGAAUUCGUGCAAGUCAUUGCUGUUAAGCAAGAAUCGCGAGGAGUCGGAGAGCUUGGAAAUCGAGAAGGAGAGAGGGCCUUUAGUCAGGGCUUGGAGGGUGUCGGACUCCGUCGGCCAAGAUUGGUGCACGGUCACGGCGUCUGGGCCCAUGGCGGUUGUGUAAAUGGGGGAGGUUCUAGGAGUCCAAGAAAGAAGAAGAAGCAGCGACCAUAGAUCUGGGAGUCCAUGGCGCUUGAAAGAUACGGCGAACAAGUCGGACUUGCUGCUGGGCAGCUGGCGGUGAUAAUGUUGGUGCAUGGGUUUUGGAGUGGGAGUGUUUGGAAUGGGUUUUUUGUUUAGUUUCUAUGUGUUUUUUCACAGAGAGAGAGAGAGAGAAGUGAUGGUGUUUAAGGGAUGAGUUUUGGAGCUUAGUGAAUGCUUUUUCUGGAAAAGCCCAGUGAGGUUUGUGGGUUUUUGCAGAUUUUGCAGAUUCGCGGUGGAGGUGAAAGAAUGAAAGAGAACCGACACAACUUUUCGUAUUGAUUCCCACAUACGGCGCCAAAUGUUGAUGCACAAAACCGGAGGUCUUGGAACAACGCAAAUCCGACCGUGAAUCUGCAAGUAAUGUAAAUAACACAAGAUGUAUCGUGGUUCACCCCAAUGUUUAGGCUAUGUCCACACUGAUUAUUGUAUUUCUCUGAGAGGUGAGGGAGAGCUUUGAGAGAGCUUAGAGCUUAGGGGAUGUGAGAAGGCUUAGGAAUUGGCCUCCCUUAUUUGUGAGGGUGAGAAGUCCUUUUAUAGAAUAAGGGUUCCUCACUUAUUACAUAUUUGCCCAUUCCUUUAUUACAUAAUUACAUUUAAGUCCCCCGAGUAUUUGUACGAGGUCUAAAUACGGAGGCCCUAAGUAUGGUACAAACAAAAUGUUUUAAAGAUGUUGUAUGGGGUUGUAAUAGACCUCAAACUUGAGGGGUUACUAUGUAAUUUACCCUUAAUUAAAAUAAGGGCAAAUGAAGAGGAUGGUUGAACUUGUUAAGUUUCUUAAGUGUGUCUAAUUUAAGUGUGUUGUUAAUAAACAUUUAUUAUGGAGGCAAAGAGAGGGAAGGUGCGGCAUAGAAAGAGAAGAGAGAGAUAUGUAAUUGUGAGUUGUGUUUUAUUCCAUCCCAUUGUGCAUUUAUUUAUAUUAGUUGGGAAAGUUAAUUCUUUAACCUUUUAGGAUUACAACUCUAAUAGGAAAAUAUAUAAUCUAAAAGAUAUGGUAGAAUCCCAUAAGAAUAUCCUAGAUAUGUUAGGAUUUACACAAUCAUAUUCCUAUUCCAAUAGGACUGCAAAACAUUUGUAUUUUUUUAUAAUUUUUUUGAUAAUUUGUUGGCAUUUUCAAUUUUUGUUAACAUUGAAAAUAUAACGGUUCAGAUGAAAAACCUUUGGAAAUCCAACAUUGAAAAUAUAACAGUUUGACGUUGGGCUGUGGUGAAGGAGGCUGGGCUGUCACGUGGGUGGGGCCCUCCCUCUCCCACUUGGUGAUUCAAAGGGCGCAGGCCCGUGCAACAAUUGAGGCAGCCCAUAGAGAUCCUGCGUUUCACCCAUUUGCCAUUUUUUCCACCGCUGGAGCACCAAAAUUCGGUCCAAAGGCAGGGGUUCCAAUUGCAUGGGCAAUUUGGUUUCCGCUGGAGGUGCUCUUUGUCGACUUUGUUUAUUCUUUCUUUUUAGCUUUGCAGUAAUAUUGAAGUAAUCACUCCAAUUGUAUCCGAACUUUUGUUGUCCAUCAAUUUGUAUCAAAACUAUUGGUUAAUUUACAUAUUCAGACUAACCUUCUCAUUAUUUUUAGUAUUUUUAUCAUAAAUAAUAUCUAAAAUAAUCACAUUUUAUUCAACAACCACUCAAUUAAAAAUUAAUUAAUGUUGUUUCUAAACCAUUACAUCGAGCUUUUGUAAAUACACAUCAAUAUUGCAGCGAUCCGAGGCAUUGUUUUCUACGCCUUGGAUUUGGCGAAUUGGAAAAGAGAAGAGUUACGAGUAAAAGUCCCUCACAUUAAGAGGGCUCCUCCUCGGGGAGAUGAAGAUGAUGAUCUUUUGUUUUUGUUUCUUAAUGAUUAAUCCACGCAGCAACAUAUAAUUAGAUUGUUGGGAUCUACUCAAGUUCCAUAUCACGCACUAAUAUAAAGUUUGACAAACGAAACGAAAUAUGUGCUCUCGAAAGCAAAAUGAGGGCACUGCUCCAAGAACAGGAAGGGCUCCUUGUCGAGGUUGCCAUCCGCCAUGAGGGAAAACCGGAAGAAGUUAGACAACAAUGAUGACAUCGAUUUGCAACACCCAUAUUGGGACAUCAAACUGUGAAAUAAAUACUCAAAACUCCUGGAAAGUCCUCGGGACAACAAACUUUUAUCUCCUUCAAAUAUUUCAUUUUACCAAGUUUUAUGUUUGAAGGGAGGGAAAAAAAGAGAUGAGAGAAUCCUACUCCUUAUUCUUGAAUAUAUUCAGGAAUAACUAUUGAAUAAAGAGAGAAUGGAAGGGGAUCGAAAGAGGAGGGAAGAUAAUUCUAGUCCCAAACAUAAAAAGGACCACAACUUUUAAAUUAUCAGCACGAUCAUCAUCUGAUUGAAGAGACCAUUCAUUGUGAAACAUAUCGUCAAUCAAUAUGUCUAUAUCUAUUUAUAUACCACAUUUUUGGAGUAGGAUUCUCCCCCCUCCUAUUACCAUCCCCUUCCAUCCCCUUCCAUCCCCUCCUUUCAUACUUUUUUUUUUCUUAUUCUCUAUAUAAAAAAUUCAAAACAAGAUGUAGAUGUGUCGUAAUCGCAAUAGUUUAAAUAAAAGGAGAUGGAAGGAGAGAUAAAUUACGAGGGGAGAGAAUCUUACUCCCACAUUUUUCUUCUUCAUAAACAAAAGAGAGGUUCUAGAUUACUUGACUCUAUGCCUCAUUUUUUUCAUCAAGUAUUUGUGCUAAACGGGUUCAGUUUCAAGUAUUUUAGUUUUUUGUCAAAAUUGAGAAAACUGAAAAUCAAACAUUAAUAUGCAAAAUUAAAAAAUCAACACAUAAUUAUUUAGAAAUCGCAAUAGAAAAGAAAAAAUGGAGGUUUGUGAUGAAAAAUCUUUUAUACUAAGUAAUUUAGUAUCCUUAUGCAUGAAGAUAAUCAAUUCGUUCGUUAUGGUCAGACUCUUUUUGAAUUUUUGAACACAUUCUCCAUAGGGCCUUCUUAUUUGUUCCUUCUCCGAGUUGGGGUUAUGGAAGAAGUAAAAGAAGGAACCAAGAAGAAAGUAUUGGCAACAACCGAUUUCGUUACGGGACAACUCUUGAUAUUCAUAUCGAUCUAUUAUGUACCUUUGCAUCUAGCAUUAGACAAUAACUGUCAUAGCUUUACCAUAUUUUUUUGUUUCAUUUCUUCUGAAACAAUAACACACACUUUUUUAUUAUGUGUCUAAUACUAGGAAUUCAAUACAUAAUCUUAGCAUUCAAUAGUUAUUCCUGAAUAAUUUCAUUUUUCAAUUGAUCAACCAUUUCAUUUUUCCAAGUUCAAUCAAUGUUAGUCACAUUAGUCAACAUUUAUAUAUUUUGAUGCAACAACAAUAUGUUAUUUGUAACAAGUGAUUUUGCUAGUUGGUUAAUUGGUCACAAGUUAAUGUUCGGUUCAGUUCAGCUUUUCUCUCGAUUUUUUGCGAUUCGGUUUUUUCGAUUCUCUUUAGAUUCGGUUCGAUUUUGUUUUUUUAUUUAUACUUAAUUUUUUUUAAUCUGAAAACACCAAGAACAACACAAGCAUACUCAAUCAAACAACUAUCCUUCUCCACAAAUCACAGUAAUAAUUACAUUCAUUUAGCUAAAAUGCAAAUAACUAACAAACUCACAAAAAUCGAAUAAAAACUACAAAUUGCUUACUCUUUUUCUUUGGGUUUCACUCGAAAAGUGUCGGUAAAAUUUAGGGUUUGCAAGAACGCAACCGAAAUCCAAAACGGAGGCUCUGUGGCUUGUGGGCUGCUAUUGAGUUCCAGUACGGAAAACCUUGCUUACUCUCUAUCACGGUACAAAGUAUCAGUACCUUUAGCACUGUAUUUGGUAGAACCAAAUUAAAAGCUAACAUCAAUAACAACUACCAGAGACAUAAGCUCUUAUCAAUGCUUUGGAAACAGUCAUGUAUCUCCAAGUGUAAUGAUAUAAUUAGUAAGAAAUUUAAAAGAAAAAUGGUGAUUUCAUAUAAAAUCAAUAAAAAGUUACAAUAUUGACAAUAUAUCAACAAUUUUUAUGGGGUAAAUUACAUAGGACCCCCUCAGGUUUGAGGUCUAUUACAACCCCAUACAACAUCUUUAAAAUAUUUCACUUUCAUACCUCACCUACUAUUUUAUUUCAAUAUAGUACCUCCAUUACAUUUUCCAUCAAUUGAUCCAUUAAGAGCUGAAUUGGUUGCCACAUUUGACACGCCCCGAUCCCGAUAUCCUCGGGAUAUCAGGAUGGUCACGUGCUGGCCGACACCCGAGGGUGACGAAAGCCAUUUAUUGAGUGCAAUUGCUGAAAAUAAAGGAUAGAUAAAACUUAUAAAUGUAAAAGAAUAAGGAAUAUGCAUUUAAGGAACGUGUUCAGAGCAUACAACUAACUAGAACACUAAAAGAAUGAUAUAAAAUGGAAUGAAUAAAAGAAUGAGUCUUACACCAAGAGGACUCGAAGAUGCCGAUGCGGAAGUACCUUGAUUGUCGGGAUUGUACGCCUCGAUCCUAAAUCCUGAAGGGGGCGCAAAACAAACAUGAGUGGACCAAGUUGAUAUAUAUAUAAUAAAACAGUUAUCAAUAUACUAACCCCCAGGUUUAUGAAAACAAAUAUAUAAUGAUGAACAUAGGUUUUCCGAAACCUAGCAUGAUGUGCAGUAUCUCAAAUCAUAACUCAUAUAUAAUAAUCACUAGUGAAUUGUCCGAUAACCUGCAGGCCCCAUGCCGGCUCCCCGUCUCUGAGCAGACAGUCAGAGGAAAAUACACUUCAGGCCCCAUGCCGGCUCCCCGUCCCUGUGCUAAAUAGCCAGAGGAAACACACUCCAGGCCCUAUGCCAACACCAAACCGUCGCCCGGGACGGACCGGAAUCUAUUCCUACGUCCCGUAGCGGAAAUGACCACUAGGUAAGUACAAAACCAUUGAACAUACAUAUAUUGAAAAACAACUUCAUAGUAUAAAGUCAUCCAUCAUCUAUACUAUAAAGAGGUGUUCGAAACAUGUUCUAAAUAUCAUAUCGUCAUCCAUCAGAUAUUCUAUAAGAACACGGGUUAUAGGAAAAAUAGUAAUAAUUCAAGGUAGCCUCAGUAAGCAUGUUAUCUCAAAACGUUUCAUAAAACGUAAUCAUUAAAUCAUGCAUUUCAUGUAUGCAUUUCUACUAUUAAAACAUGCUUUUGAAGGGGUCCACUCACAGUACUUAGCCGCCGAAGAGCCACGCAAACUAACGUCACCAAUAUUGCCCCUAAGCACAUAAAUGGUCCAAUUAAUAAAACUAUAUAAUAGCAAUUGGAUUUGGGAAAACGGACGUUGGAAACGGAUUCAGAACGUCGAAUUACCCUAAGAAGGGUCCCGGACGAAAACCCGAAAAGUCAACUCUAAAGUCAAUGUUGACCGGAGGUCAACGGUCAAAUUAGGUCUAACGGGUUUUAGGCUUGAAAUCCGGAUUAGGGUUUAGGUUAAAUAGGAUUAGGAUUUAUUGGGUUUUGGAAUUCUAAGGUUUUUGGGUUAAAAGGGUUUAGGGUGAAAAUGGGUGGUUUGGGCUUAAUCCCAAACUCACACACAACACACACACACACUACACAAACCCUAAAACACACACACACACACGGGCUGCACUAGGGCAGCCCUCACAACACUUCACAAAGGCCCUAAGGCCUUAUUAAAGGACAGGGCUUUAAGCCCUUUAAAGGAUACUGGCCCAAGGCCCGUCAAAAUAAGGCCCGAGGCCUUUGGGUUUUAAAAAGAACAAGAACAAAUUUAAAAGAAAAGGGGCUGGGGUCUACUGGGCUAAGAUAUAACGGGCUUAAGGCCCGUGGGGUUUUCUAAAGGGCCUGAGAGGCCUGGGUUUGUCGAAGGAGAAGGCCGGAAUUUCGGCCGGAAAACCACCCAACUUUAAAUGGCCAUAACUUUGUCAAUACUCAACGAAAUCAAGCAAGACAAAAAUGAAAGUUGUAGCCCUUGAAGCGACGAAGAGAAUGGUUCCUCACACGACGUCUAACUCGCCGUGGUUUGGCCGGAAAAUGCCUCGAAAUCCGUCGGACUCGCCGGAAACUGGGUAAGAUUCAAAUGAGUAUAACUUCUUCAAUACUCAACGAAAUUAAGUGAAACAAAAAGGAAAGUUGUAUUACUCGACGAGACGAAGAGAUUGAUACCUUACACGCCGGCCAACUCGCUGUGGUUUGGCCGGAAAUGGCCUCGAAAGGGGCGGUGCUCGCCGGAGCUUACUCCGUGCCGUCGAACUCGCAGGGUAGGGUCCGGGGUUCGUUGCAAGCCUCUCUUCGAUGGUGACUCGGUCCUAGUGAGUCCAGGGGAAGAGAGAGAUGCGAAAGGUUGAGGGAGAGAGAGACGGGAGAGCUGAGAAAGAGAGAGCUACGGGAGGGAGAAACGAAGAAGAAGAAGAGAGAGAUCAGAAAACAUAAAAAAAAUAAACAAGGUGGGCCCCACGGGCUCACCAAUUAAGGCUUUAAAACAAUUUUAAAAUAUAAAAGAGGGUUGGGGUGUUUCAACAUUUGUACCACGUGGCAAAAAAAAAACCUAAAUCUUCUAUACAAAAAAACUAAAAAAACCAAAAAAAGCAAAAUCGAACACUCCACCCCGCAAAAAUCCUAGCAUCUUCCUUUUAUUCCCCACAACCCCAAAUUCCCCCCCAAAACCCCUAAAACCCAAACCCUAAUUCCUCCCCCACAUGAAGAAAAUCCCAGUCCAAUUCAAUCCCAAUUACCUCAAAUCCCACCAUAGAAACCCUAAAUUUUGGUUCCUCAAUCCCUAGAUUUCCCACGCCUCUGUUGCCUACACCUUAUCAAUCUUUAGCUUUCUCCCUCAUCCCCUCCAUGAACGACACUUUCUCUCAUCCGCUGUUCCCCAGCAACGGCACCGAUACCUACGAGGCCUGGUACGGCAACAUCCAGUACCUUCUCAACAUCUCCGCCAUCGGCUCAUUCUUAUGUGUCUUCUUUUUCACCUUGGUCAAGCUUUGAAGCGAUCGCCGCCGCAUGCCCGGCUCGUCCUCCCUCGUUGCUAAGCUCUUCGCAGUGUGGUAUGCUACCUGUCGAGAGAUUAUGCUCCCAUGUGGCGCUGAGGCCAUAAUACUCACGCACCCAUCUACACACCCACACCACCACUACCGUGGACUCUCUCUCACUCUCCCUCGUCUUUGUAGAGCUAGGUGAAGCCUAGAAACCGAGAACUAGCUCCAGCAAACCCCGUGAGUUUCGAGCCAGAUCCCUGCCGACUCCGACCAUCCCAUGACCAAUCUAAGGUACAAAACAUUUCCCCUUGACUCUAUGCUCUUUUUCGUAUGUAGAUCGUAGGGAAAAGCCCACAGAAUGAGAGAGAAUAGUGACCUGAGAGAGUCCACGGUGAUGGUGGUGUGUAGAUGAGUGCGUGCGUGGGUGUACUGUCGGGGAUAGAGUCUGAGAGAGAUAGAGAGUGAAAGAGUCUGAGAGAAGAGUGACUUGCGAGAGUGAGAGAUUCGAGAGAGACUCGGGAAAAGAUUUAUGGGUUUGGGUUUUUCUGGUUUUUUAUUUUUAUAAUAAUAGGGUUAAUAUUAUAAUAUUUUUAAUGUAUAAAAAUUUCUUUUUUGCCACGUGGCAGCCACAUCAGCACAAAUGUGGUAGUUGUAGAUGCAAAUUUCUUCCUCUUGAUCUUGGACAAUUUUGCACCUACAAAACAAUUAACACCUUAGGUUAAGGCCAAAAGCCUCACACACCCACAAUGAAUGGGGGGCUUUGGCCGAAGAACCUCUGUUGCCAAAGUUAGAAUUUAGAGAGAAAGAGUCUUUACAGAAUUUUGGGAUUUUUGCCAAAGUGUUGGAAUGGCUUUCUGGUGAGAACGGGAUCACUUUUAUAAGGAUAGGAAGUGGUCGGCCUAGCUAGGGUUUUUGGGUUUAAUUUAGGUUUAAUUCUUCAAUUUAUUUGGCUAAUUAAACCCUAAAGAAUAAAUUGGUGGUUACAAAAUUGAUUAUUUGUAUAAAUGGGGUAAUAAAAUGGAGAAAAGUGAAAAAGGUUAGGAAAAGGGAGGUAGCUAGCUUCUUAGUAGUUUUAGGUGUGAGUGGGUGUUUUAAUUGAUAAUUAAGGGAUUGAUUAGGUAAUUAAUCCCUUAAUUAAACAAUUUUUAGGGAAUAUGAAAGGAAAUUAUUAUUUAGCUAAUUGAUUAGCUAAAUAAUGGAAUACAAAAUAUAUAGAAUAAAUUAGGCUUUAGGUAUUACCUUAUAGAAAUGAUUUGAUGAAAUAGGCUUUAAAUUGUUAACUAUUUUGGGCACUUUUGACUUGGUUGAGGAUGAUUGUCUGCCGCUCGCACGUAGGAAUCUCGAUAUGCCUUAAGGGUAUUUUUGUCCUCUUUUACCCAAAAAUCCACGUGUCGCCUUGUGAUUAUUUUUGGCUCCACAAAUGCCCCCACACCUGUUGGGCUGCUCGCAGAAAAUGGCAGCAGGUGUAGAGAUCAUCUUGCUUUAGGAAACGUAGGACUACUUCCUCUUUAGAUGUAGAUUCUCUCUUUAAUAGGAAAUUAGGUUCUUCUAGGAAAGGGAAAUAAAUUUCUGUUAAAGCCUAUUUAAGUCUACCUUAAGUGGGUUAUUAAAUCAACUUUGGAGAGCGAUUUCUUAUACCCUACAAGAGAGAGGGAGCUUAGAGAAUAUUUGUUCCCCCUCUUCUAGCAAUCUUCUACAUCUUUCCCGUGCAAAGGAUCGUCUUUCGUUGAUUUCUUCGUCUUCUCCGUGCCGCACCGAUGUAAGAAAAAUUUAAUUUUUUGCUUAUCUUCUUCUUGGAUAGUACUAUUACAGGGCAACCGUUAAGGUAGUGCGGCACGUCUACUGGCAGGGGCUAGGAGUUGGCUCGGCAUCGGUCGAUGAGGCAUUAUGGCAGGGGCCACUGCUUAGGCUGUUUGGCUUGGCUAGAGCCAAUGGCAGCUUGUGCGGCUGGGGUCGCGGAUUGUGGCGUUGGGGCGCAAUGCUAGGCGAGCCACAUGGUUAAUGUCCUUUAGGCUCUUAGACCUUACUCGGGCCAGGCUAGCGACUGAAAGAAAUGAGGAGGUCGUGGGCCUCAUGGGUUGUUGGAAUGUUGGGCAUGCAGGCCUCCUGUCUGCUAGAAUGCUAGGUUGAGCUCCUCUGCUGAGUACCGUGAAUGGCGUUGGCUGCUUAGUUCUUUUUACAGAGAGAAAGGUGGGCUGCUCCCGAAAGAGGAAGUAAAGAGGAUCAAGGUGGAUGCAUUGGCUCGUCUAAUCGCUGUCGUGGAACCUCCUAUGAAUGAAGAUGGAAAUAAGAGAUCUUCCCUGCCUACUCAAGAGAUGCCGAUCGAGAAAAAUUGAAGACUUUCUCCACUGCUGCUCAUGAUGAUUUGUCUGCUGUCGAUAGGCCUGUGAUUGGCAUGACUUCUUCCAAUGGGAAGAAAAAUGAGGCUGCUAGAUCUGAUCAUGUGGUGCCUUCCAUGUUGAGAAUUGCUAGUACAAUUGUUGAUAAGAUUGCUUAGCGCAAAGGUUUUAUCAUGCCCCCAGUACCGAAGUCUGUACCAGGACUUUCGUUUGGAGCAAAGUCUGGUUCACCUUUGGAGAUACUUGCUAUUAUGAAAAGUGGUAAGGUGGACUCUGCUGCUAAAGUGGCGUCAAGGCCCACUCCCUUUGUUGCUGAGACUGAUUCGCCUGCUAGGAAGGAAGAUACUACUUGUAUGGGCAGCUGUGAGAAAUCCACUAAACUUGCUUCUGGGGAGGCUGCUGAGAUCAUUGUGCUUUUGAAACUAUAUCUGCUUGAAGACAUGGACGCUUGUGCCAAGUUUGUUGAUGGCGGUAGAAAGGUUGUUUACCUAAGUUCCUUUGCGAAACAUACGACCCAAUAUAAAAUGACUGCUCUGCUUACUAGGAUGCAUAAAUAGCAAGGUUGUCAAGGAGGUGGCGAAGAUUAUGGCAGCUAAAGCUUAUUCCUCAGUCGAGGAGAUCAAAAGGUUGAAUUAUGAGCUUGUUGCUUUGAAAGAAAUGGAAGAACUGCAACACGUUCGUGUUAGUCUGUUUGAGAAGAAUGAGCAGCUAAACGGUAAGAAUGAUGGGCUUGAGGUUUCUCUAUUUUUCCGGAAGACUUGCUUACUUUUACUUUUGAGGCUUCCAUUGGUGAAGUAGUUGGAGACGUUAGUGCCCAGGCUUAGGCAACCGGGGGUGAAGCACCGGAUGAUGCCGCUGCUAAGAACGUUACGGCUGCUGAAGGUGUGGAGACCAAGUAGUCGUGGGAUGUCCAAGCUGCUGUAGUGUAGUAUUUUAGGUAGCUUUUAUGAUUUUCUUUGUUUUUCCUUGUAGCUCUUGUUUUGCUUGAACUUCUUCGGCCUUUGCUAGUUGUAUAAACAUGUUUUCCUUCGCUUUUCUUCAUCUUCGCUUCUUUUGUUCAUGCCCUAACCUUUAGACUUGAUAGACCAAUGGCAGGCAUGCUACUUUUUUAUAAGCAGACAAGCUCGCGUAGCCUAUGCAGCCGUAAAUGUUGGUGUAGAACUUUGCAAAGUUGUUAGCCAUUAGGUUGGUAACCAGAUACCUUACUUACAGAAGUAGACAAGUCCGCAUAACCACUAGGCUAUUAACCUUGACUUUCUCCAAUUCUGUAGGUUGCGUAGCAAGUAUCACAACACUUUAGGAAUUGGUAUAGGUUGCUCCGCACUUGGCAGAGGUGAAGCCUAUCGACUACGUAGCAUGUCGGCAGUGGAUAAAACUUCCAUAUAUGCGCGCUAGCUUGUUUAACCUUUCACAAGAAUGUGCGGUUGUAUAAGUCUAGCACGGUUUUACUGCUUGAAGGGCAAGCCGUAGGCAGUCUUCCGGAAUCCGUAGGCUACCUUAAUGUACUCGGUAGCAGCUUUAGGGUUCCAGGGCAGCCGUCUAUAGAGCGUACUGCGUAAUGUGCCCCAUCCGUCUCUAGCUCCCGGUUCCCCACAGAUUAGACCAAGAGACCCAAAAUCCUUCAGUUAGUUAAGCCUUGAAAAAGACCAUUGUGGCUACUUCUAGGAAUCCCGGCUCAAGCCAUCGUACAUCUAGUUAUACUAGGGUAGCCAGGCUCAUCAGCGUCUGGAUAUUCGGAGUGUAAAGUUUAUCCUCCCGUCUUAGAGAGCUGACCCAUAUGAGUGUCGGGGAAUUGGUUUACCCUCUCACACUAGAGAGUAAUUAAUUUACCCUCUCGCACUGGAGAGCAAUUAGUUUACCCUCUCGCACUGGAGAGCAUGGUUGGUCCAUCGGGGGGCGCAAUUCCUGCGAUGAGUCCCUAAGAAGGGCGCAGUCUUCUUUUGAAGUGCAGGAAUGAUUAGUUGUUAUAAGCAUGUGAUCGAGUCAAGUUGUGAUUACUUCUAAAUUCCUCAUUGAAAAACGAGUGAAACGAACGAGAACUUAGCCGUAAGGUAGGAACUGCAUAACAACUGGAUAGUCCUCAACUUGUGUGGUGGUACCCAUCGAGCUUCUUGAGUCUUCGGGCUUUGAUGUAGUGGGAGGUUACACAUGGCACCUUUUCAGAUUGUAGGCGCUCUACUGCUUUUCGAACUUUUUUUUUGUUGUGUAAUUGCUCUUGCUGCCUACUCGGCUAAUCUUAUACAGACUUUCUCGGAUGAGAUUCAUCUUUUUGGAGCUUCUCUGCUGGCAGUGAUGAAGGCUUUUCUUAGGACUAGAUCUCUGGGCUGGAACUGCCAGAUUUUGGCCUUUUUGUUGUGGCUGGAAAAGAACCACUGCUGGUAAGUUGUAAUGCAGAUGAUAGUCUGCUCGCACUUCUCCUCUGCCAAAUUUAAGCUUGUGGCCAUCUCCUUUCGGUUGCUCGUCUUUUGGUGUUGCGAUGUGCCCAUAGACAUCCAGGGAGUUUGUCUGGCCAUUUUCUUUUCUUAUUGGUAGGGGAUUUCUUGUGGCAGUCGAGGAUCAUCUUAGUGGAUGUUUUGGCCAGCCUAUUGCCUUGAGGAUAUCUUGGCGUAGACAUGUGCUGCUUGAUGCCAUAUUUUUAGAAGAAUUUCGCCAAAUCUUUGCCCACGAAUUACGGGCCGUUGUUGGUGACGAUGGAUUAAGGUAUGCCAAAUCGGCAAAUGAUGCUCUUUCAUAUGAAGCGCUCUAUGUCCGUUUGAAUUGUGAUCGUCAUGGGCUCUGCUUCUACCUAUUUGGUGAAAUAGUUGGUUGCCACGAUCAUCAUGCAUUUGCCCUUAGUAGUCUGGCUGGUGAUUAGCUGGGAAUCAGAAUGAAUUGAAAGCUUUUUCACCACCAAGUCUUUUGUCACUCGAAGGCCUGCUAGUGGGGCUUUGUACUCUGCUUCGUUGUUAGGUGCUUUGACGCUUAGAGUGAUCGCUUACUCGAGCAUUGAACCGUCUGGGGUGGCAAGAACCACGGUUACUUAUAAGCCUUUGUAGUUGGAUGCGCCGUCGACAUGCAAAUGCCAGAAAUUUCCAUUGAGGGAGUAGGUAUGGCUAAAGUGUGCUCGGCUACCUUCGAAGCGUCGUUGGGCCGCUUUGUUACAUUGUCAAGGCUAGGUUUGAAGGCGCGGUAGAGAGUCGUGGAGCUGGGGCCAUGUUACAUGUAGCAGGAGAUGCUCAACUUCCGGUAUUAGGCCACUCUAGAGCUGAAUAAUGGAGCAAAGGUCGGCUAGGGUCGUAUGACGCGCAGCAGAAGGUAGUGCUCGACUGCUAGUACAUGUUGCUCUUACGUAGAAUCUUCUGAGGCGACGAGGACAAAACUUGCUUUUAAGUGUUCCUUCUAGUGUUCGUCUGCCCUUGGCGUGUCUUUUGGGCUGAGUUGUUGCGUUCGUCAGAAAACUUUGCAUCUGCCAGGGUUUACGUCUUUAUCAUCACGGGUUUGGAUUAGGCGGAAUAGUGCGUCAUGAUGAUGACUGCGUACAUUUGAAGGUAAAACUUAAGCUUUUGGGUUACAACAACUAUCACCAAAGUUAGCUUUUGAAUUUUUAAUAGCAUCGAGGAGAGCUUUUGAACUAUAAAAUACAUGUAGUUGGGCCCCCAACUCUUCUCGCAUGACGGUACAGCUUAUUUCUACUUUAGAUACCGUCAAACAUGCGAAUAAGUCCUCUGCUGCUUCUAGGGAGGUGAUGUUGGGUACUUCUUCAAGCCCUUGAAUGUGCAUUGGCGAGCCUCAUCCCAAAGUGCAUGCUUCUCUGCCAAAGAAAAAGAGUCUACCAGAGUUAGAUAUUCUUUCAUGAUCAAUUUUCUAAAUAGCGGUGGUCUGCUGGAAGGCCUUUUUGGAAGGCUGCUCUAGCUAUUGAGUCGCUGCAUCCGACUAUCAUUGCCUUCUCUGUUUUGAAUCUCUUCACAUAGUCACGAAGUGACUCCUUUGGGUUCUUUUUUACGUCAAACAAAUGGUCGGACUUCUUUUUGAUCGAGCAAUAAGAUGAAUAUUCUUUGGUGAAAACCAAAGAAAGUUCGUAGAAAUUCUAGAUAGAUUGUGGCGGCAGGGUGUAGAACCAAUCUUGUGCCUCGCCUUCAUAGUGGUGGCGAAUAUCUUGCACAUGAGAUCAUCGUUGUUUCGAUAAAGGAUCAUUGUGCUUCGGUAGCGCUUUAAGUGUCUCUUCGGGUCUUCAUCCCCUUUGAAAGAUAUGAAAUGUUGCAUACUGAACUCGCAUGGAGGCUCUGCCAGCUCGAUCUCAUCCGUGAAGGGUGACCUGCUUAUGUUGGUCAUGUUCCGUCGUAGUGCCUCGUCGGUGACCUUGUUGCGUUAGAAAUCAUGCAAUCGCUUGAUUAAAAGUCUCUCUACUUCUUCCUGAAUUUUCAUUUGUUAGGGUAGCAGAGCUCUCGGCUGCCCCUAGCCAUAACUUACUGGUCUAGGAUGCUCUUCCAUGUGUUUGGCUCGUAUACCGUGGAUGCAGUGUAUGUGGUGCGGUCCUAGUAGGUGAGCGAGUUCUUCGCAGGCUGCUAGUUGAACUUGAGCUGGAUUGAGUGACUACUUCUCUCCGUCCGUCGUGCUGCCUACUCCAAUGUGAGGUGAAAGAUGCUCCUUGCAGGCUUAGCCACGAAUGAACACUUUACCUGGAAGGUUGCUCAUGUUGACUAUCAGAGUAUGACCCUAACCGUGAAUGUAUAUUCACCCGUGGGCUUAGUCGAGAGUGCACGCUCCUCCGCGCGCUAAGACGAGAGUAUACGUUAUCUCGGGAGCCCAAUUGGGAGUGUACACUGCCCGAACGCUCGGCUCGUGGCUGGUCGAGUGGCUGCUUGCCGAAACGCUGCGGGAAAGGUUCGUCUGCCCUUGUCCUACUUCGGGAUACCUUGUUUGGGGCACGUUGGAUUCUGGUGCAUUGCAAAAGUUGAUUCACCAAGGUUGUCUGUUGUGCAAGGGUGCUCGUAAACGCUACGACUUGUCGAGACAAGUGUUGUUCGUCAUUUGGAUUGGAAUAGCUUGGAAGGAAUGUGCCUUCUUGGGCAGUGGAAGGGUGGUAGACUCCGGGCUCGAGAUUUGAGUUGGGAAAUGUCAAAUCUACGAAAAAAUGUGGUGAGAAUGCCCCCGGCUCGAUGGUAGGUCCGGAUGGUUGAGAUAGUCUUGGGCCGACUUGGGCUGCUUGGAAAGCCACGGGAGCAGGCUGGGCCACGAGAGUGAGCUGCUCGGCAGGAGUAGGCUGGGCUACGAGAGUGGGCUGCUCGGCAGGAGCAAACUGCUUGGAGUGUGAUGCACAUGGGUGCGAGGCUUGGGCUCGGCUUGGUAACACAUUGAGUUCGGGUUUGGCUUGGAGUGACAUGACUUGGGCCGUGGCCUUGGUGUCGUGAGCCUUGGAUGGCACGGCUCGGGCAGUGGUAGCUGUGCCAUGGACCUCGCCGCGGGUAGUGGUGACCGUGAUGGCCACCGCGGUGGUUGCCAUGGUGGAGCCCCGUAGUGAUGGUGCCGCUCCUAUGAUCACAUUUAGCCUCGUGGAUCGUCGUGGUCCCAUUUCUUGAAUAUUAGAAUUUUCACUUAUGGAAUUUUCUAAAUUUCUAGCCAUUAUAUUUUUCUUAUACGUUUUAUCAAAGAACCUUUGCAAAUAAAAAAUUCUAAUAAUAAGAACGUAUGAAAAAAUAUUCAAAUGGACUAGAAAAUAGAGAAAAACCUUUUUAUGCGAGAGUCUUCUACGAGUAUAGAUCUCAACUCUCAAUGAAAGCACCAAUUUGUGGAUGCAAAUUUCUUCCUCCUUGAUCCUAGACAAUUUUGCACCUACAAAACAAUUAACACCUUAGGUUAAGGCCAAGAGCCUCACACGCCCACGAUGAAUGGGGGGGCUUUGGCCGAAGAACCUCUGAUGCCAAAGUUAGAAUUUAGAGAGAUAGAGUGUUCAGAGAAUUUUGAGAUUUUUGCCAAAGUGUUGGAAUGGAUUUUUGGUGAGAAUGGGAUCACUUUUAUAGGGAUAGGAAGUGGCCGGCCUAGCUAGGGUUUUUGGGUUUAAUUUAGGUUUAAUUAGUCAAUUUAUUUGGCUAAUUAAACCCUAAAGAAUAAAUUGGUGGUUACAAAAUUGAUUAUUUGUAUAAAUGGGGUAAUAAAAUGGAGAAAGGUGAAAAAGGUUAGGAAAAGGGAGGUGGCCGGCUUCUUAGUGGUUUUAGGUGUGAGUGGGUGUUUUAAUUGAUAAUUAAGGGAUUCAUUAGGUAAUUAAUCAAUUUUUAGGGAAUAUGAAAGGAAAAUAUUAUUUAGCUAAUUGAUUAGCUAAAUAAUGGAAUACAAAAUAUAUAGAACAAAUUAGGUAUUAGGAAUUACCUUAUAGAAAGGAUUUGAUGAAAUAAGCUUUAAAUUGUUACCUAUUUUGGGCACUUUUGACUUGGUUGAGGAUGAUUGUCUGCCGCUCACGCGUAGGAAUCUCGAUAUGCCUCAAGGGUAUUUUUGUUCUCUUUUACCCAAAAAUCCACGUGUCGCCUUGUGAUUAUUUUGGCUCCACAACAACCACGUCAGCAUUUAACAGACCAAUGGAUGGAAAAUCUAACGGAGGUAUUAUUUUGAAAUAAAAUAACAAGUGAGGUAUGAAAGUGAAAUGUUUUAAAGAUGUUGUAUGGGGUUGUAAUAGACCUCAAACUUGAGGGUCCUAUGUAAUUUACCUAUUUUUAUGUUAAUUAUGAAUAGGUCAAUCAUGUAGAACCAAAUUAAAAGCUAACAUCAAUAACAACUACCAGAGACAAAAGCUCUAAUCAAUGCUUCGGAAACAUAGUCUUGUAUCUCUAGGUGUAAUGAUAUAAUUUGUUGGAAACUUAAAAGAAAAUUGGUGAUUUUGUAUAUAAUCGAUAAAAAGUUAUAAUAGUGACAAUAUAUCAGUAAUAUUUAUGUUAAUUAGGAAUAGGUCAAUCAUGUAUUUAAUACUUACAUGCAUUUAAAAUAAACACCUUAUCAAUGUUUUUUUAACUGUGCUCAGUUUUUCUCCUUCGCUUUGGUUUUGUUCUAUUGGAUUUUUCAACUAUCAUUAAUUGUGAACAUAACUGAUCAUUGAGACACAAACAUCCAAGGGAGAGUACCGUGGAACAAAAUGUGGAUAUCUUUAUACAUUGUAUGGUAGUAAACCAUCAUAAACACCAUAAUAAUGUAGAAACGCUCUUGGGGUACCUUUGGAUGAUAACUCAUGUAUUUGUUGCCCUACGUAAAGAUGGCUAAUGAUAAUGGAAGUCUAAUUUUCUCAUCCCAAUCUCUCCUGUCUCUCUUGUUCUCUUUUCUCUAUAGUUUAUUUCCAACAAGUUGUGUUAUUUUUUUUUUUUAGUAUUGUUAAGCAACCAAUAGAUUUUAAUUAGCAGUCUUUGUUUUUUUCUUUUAUAUUUUUAAUCAAUUUCAGUUGCUUAUCCGUUCUAGCAAAUUGAGCUCUUUUACAGCAAUUUUUUUCUUUAAAUGAAAUUAUUAUUAUUAAAAGAGUGAGAAAAUUCGAAAUUAUUACAACAAUUUAAAAAAAAGAAGUUUCGAAUCAUAAACACAGAGGGAGUUUACAACAUUUUAAUUAAGAAAUUAGGCUUCAGCUCAACUCAUCUUUGCAACGUCGGUUCCACUUCACAUCAACAUGCAAUGUUUCAGAAGGUCACGCGGUUUUGGGGUUGUUGUGUACCAAUAAUAUUAUAUAUAUAUAAAUUAGGAUUGAAGGAUACACGCAUUUUGUAGAGCUUAUUUUGUUAUGUAUUUUAAUGAUUUAAAUGCUUACGUUUUUCUUCACUACAAAUGAGUGAAUUAAUGAUUUUAGAAUUUGUCUAAUUUUUUACAUUGAUUAUUUAUGAAUAUUGAAUUGAAAUAUAGACGAUUCAAAAAUCGUUGAUAUACAUUACAAAAUGAACUCCACAAAAUAAGCGUCAAAAUAUGUAUAUAAAAUGGACAGCGUGAAAGGCUUGGAAAUUGGAAUAGGUUUGAAAAUUGUGCUUUUUGUAGCAAAUUGUAGCAAAGUUUGCUUGGACUUUCACAACCGUAUAAAUUAUGCCGCAGCACUCUCUAUUUUCUCUCUCGCUCUAUAUCGUGGUCCCUCUCUCUCGCCGUCCUCGAUUGCUCGAACUCACUAUCCUUUAUUGCUCGAACUCACCGUCCUCAAUUGCUCGAACCCACUGUCCUUUAUUGCUCGAACUCACUGUCUCCAACUUCCUCUGUUUGGUUCCCGAUGAAGAUGGUAAAACAGUAGGGGCAAGAAAUUAUGACAAUGUUAGAUUUGCAUAUUAAUCUGGUAGGGCUACAAUUCUCCAAUCCACACCCCUUCCAUCUAUGCUAGUGUUUGUACCCAAUAUUAGAUAUCCGGUCUGUGCAAUCGAGAUCGUUGAAUGAGAAAAAUUCUAAGCCGUGGGAUCAAAUAUAAUGAUGUGGAUUAAAUAAGAAAAAUUUAAAUGUUUAUCUUGGUUGAAUUACCAUGAUAAUAUUGUGGAAUUAUCUUCUGCAUAACGGGAUAGCGAGAAAAGUCCAAGGGUGUAGGGAAGUUGUGUGGCUGACUACCGCUUUUUUUUAUGGUGUCAUUAGUAGAGUAAUAUCACACUUAACAUUUAUUUGUACCAUCUCUCUAAUAAAGAUAAAGACCAUCAAUGCAUAAAUAAUGAUACAAAUAUAUAAUAAGAGUAUCAUAUUUGUAACUAGAAUAGGAGAAGAAAGACUUCAAGAUGGGGUCAGCCAAAUAAUUAGCGUCAGGAUAAAAAUAUGAGUAAUGAUAUUUGUAAACAUCGAAAUUUCGGUAAAUAAAUGUUGACCGAUAAAUCAAAGUUUCAACGCUCAUGUAUUACAUAAAUUUUACACGUAGCGUAUGUCUAAACAAAAAAUCGAAAUAAGUUGGAAAAGUCAUCAAACAGGACACAUGUCAACACCUGGCAGAAACGACUUAUUUCAUCUGGAAUAUUAUAUUCAAAAUUAGGCAUUGGAAAAUUCUAUAAAUAGAAGCCAAUUUCAUUCAUUUGAAGGAACCAAAAUCAUUAGGCAAAAUUCUUGAAGCUCUGAAGCUCUGAAACUCCGAAACUCUCAAGCAUCCAGGUUCCCGAAGAAUCAAGAAAGCUCUCUUCGUUCUUCGUUCUUCGUUCAUCGUUCAUCCUAAGAUCAAGCUCCAACGGCCCUUUAGAUCAACAAUCAUCCACUAAUUCAAGAUCAAGCCCCGACGGCCCUUGAAGAAAGUGUUCUUCAUUCUUCGUUCAUCGUUCUUCCAAGAUCAAGCCCCAACGGCCCUUUGGAUUAACAAUCAUCCACCAAUUCAAGAUCAAGCCCCAACGGCCCUUGAAGAAAGUGUUCUUCGUUCUUCGUUCAUCGUUCUUCCAAGAUCAAGCCCCAACGGCCCUUUGGAUUAACAAUCAUCCACCAAUUCAAGAUCAAGCCCCAACGGCCCUUGAAGAAAGUGUUCUUCGUUCUUCGUUCAUCGUUCUUCCAAGAUCAAGCCCCGACGGCCCUUGGAUCAACAAUCCACCAAUUCAAGAUCAAGCCCCAAAGACCCUUGAAGAACUUCUACCAAUUCAAGAUCAAGCCCUGACGGCCCUUGAAGAAAGUGUUCAUUGUUCAUCAUCCGUUCAUCCCGAAGAAUCAAGAAAGCCUUAUUCGUUCUUCGUUCAUCGUUCUUCCAAGAUCAAGCCCCGACGGCCCUUGGGUCAACAUCAUCAACAAAUCCACACAUCCAACCGUUCUUCAAGAUCAAGCCCAAAAGCCCUUGAAGAUCCGUUCAUCACCGUUAUUCAAGAUCAAGCCUUAACGGCCCUUGAAGAAACACUCAUCCUCAAGAUCAAGCCCCAACGGCUCCUUGAAGAUCCGCUCAAAUCCACCUUCAAAGAUCAAGCCCACGGCCCCUUGAAGAAACAUCCAACAGUUCAUCCAAGAUCAAGCCUCGACGGCCCUUGGAUCAACGAAACAUCUACAAAUCAACACCUUACGGAGAUCGAAUCAGAUGAUCAAAUUAGAGAGAGAUUGUAACCCUAAAUCAUCAAAAUACAAAUAUUAUUUUGUGCACGUUGUUCUUAUCUCUUUCGUUUCAGGAAAUUUUCGUGUUCACAAUAUUCUUACCAUCUAAAUAUACUAUAAUUUUAUACCAUCUUAUGUGGCAAUUGAGAUGGACUUCCACAUAAGUUUUAAAAAAAUCUCAUGUCAGCUAAGGUGGAUAUUUACGAUUUUACGAUUUUACUCAAUGAUUUUUAUUAAUAAAAUAAUUAAAAAAUAAUAAUGAAACCUACUUGCUCCCGUUUUCAAGCCUCAUCGCUGGGCCUCCUCCCUCUUCGCUCUCCAAUUUCACCUUCCUUCACCAACGAUCGAUGGUGCUCGACCCCCUUCAUCAUUGCCAACUGGCCGAAUAUCUUGAUGGUGCUCCCAGUGAUUGUUUUGCUCUGCCACCAAAUCAAGUUUGCAAUUUUAAUGGUUUAUGCCUUCUGGCCAAGUGUUGGAUUUGAUAGGUUUUUAAUUCCAGCAACAUUGAACAAAAAUAUGAAAAGGAUUGGAUACGAUAUUUUCCUCUGUUCUACUGCUGAGGAUUUUCCGAAUAGAAGAAGAUUUGGAAGACAACCUCUUUUCUUUUUUCUUCAUGGACUUUUGGUUAGCACCAAAAUCUUUUCCUAAUCCUCUAUAGGAAUGAAAAUUUCAUUCCAUGUUAUAUCCCGAUGUUGUCCAAGGUUUUGGCUUGAAUUUUCAUUGGAAUUAUCAUAUGUUGGAUCAGAUCAGGUGGAGAGAUGAAACGUAUCUAACAAGGAAGUUGAACGGGUAGGGUUUGAGCAAAAAUAAACAGAAAUUCCACCUAGGUUGACACCUAAGCUUCCACAUCAUGUGGUAUACUAAAUGUGGUAUAAUAAGAUGGUAAGAAUAGCAUUAUUGAAUGGGUAAUGUUAAGAGAAAUUUUUAGUUGUGACGGGAACACGGAUGGUACACCAUGCGUUUUUAUGUAAAUGGUGGAAAAUUUUAAUUUUUAAAUUAUUAACCUUUUAGCACACAUAUCCCACCAUUUAUAUGAAAACACGUGAUGUAUCACCUCGUGUGAUAGUCACAUUGAAAAAUCUCUCGUAAUGUUAGGAAAACUAAAUUUAUAAACAAAAGUUACAAAUUAAAUGAUGGGUUACCAAUAAGAAUGAUUACGUUUAUCAAUGCUUAAAUAAUAAAUCAUUCAUCAACUUCCAGUCCUUUAGUUUUUAAAAUUUUGUCUAACAUUACCCUUUCAAAACUCAUGAAAAUAAUUUUCAAUUUUUUUAACUGAAAAGUGAAAGUUACUAAACAAGAUUUCAGUUUUUAGCUUUCAAAAAAAUAAAAACAAAAGCUAAAAAUAAAAUGGUUAUCAAACAUCCCUAGAAGUCAUUCUUAGUGAUAGUAAGGUCAUCUCCAACCGAAAGAUCCAGGGGGCUAGAGGGCCGAAAAUAGUCUGAAAACCAUUUCCAAUCAAAGGCCAUGCCAAAGGGGUCGUGGACCCCAUUAGACAAAAAAGGGCCAAAGGGCCAACUGGCUGGCCCCAGUUCCAACAAUAACUAGAUGACGUCAGUUAACCGUUAUUUUUGAAUUUUUUUUUUAACAAAUUUUAACUUUCUAAGCCAUUAAACAACAUUAAAUUAAGUAAAAAAGAAAAUUCCUAUAACUUCCUAAGUCAUUAAACAAUAUUAAAUUAAGUAACAUGAAACAACAUUAAACAAUAUUAAACAAAAUUAAACAAUAUUAAACAACAUUAAAUAACAUUUAACAACAUAAAAAUUAUACAACAUAAAAAAAAACAUUUAAGAACAUAAAAUUUAAAUGCCUACUUCAUGCUUCUUUUGGCCCAAAGAUGUGCAACAAGAUCCUAAUGUAGGUACUUGUUUGUGGCACGAGAGCGUAUCAUCCUAACCGUUAGAUUUGAUUUUUUUUUGUUUUCGGCCAAAUUUUUUUAAAUUUAAAAAUAAAUUAUGUUUGACCUUUUGGCCCUCGAUUGGAGAUAGUUUUUUUUGUGACAUGACUAUGUUUAGCCCUAUGACCCUUUGGCCCUCAGUUAGAGAUGGUAAGAAAUAUGACCCAACAAUGUUCAUUAAAAUAUUAAUUUCUUGAAGAGCCAGAGGGCUAAAACGAGCCAUCCUUCGGUUGGAGAUGGCCUAAGAAGAGACUAGAGAUAGAGAGAUUCCUAUACUUAGCUGUGAGAGUUUCCUAUAUAUGAUUUUCAUUAACAAGAUUGAACUGAUUACAUAGAGAAGAAGAUCAAGUAUGGUUAUUUUUAUUUGGGAGACUUUGGAUGUGGUCCUUAGUUAUGAAUAUUAUUUGAUUGAAAUCUUGUUGGUUUUUAAUUUUUUAUCAAGAUCCCUGAAAUUAAUGUGAUAAUUUAUUUCUAUGUAAGUUACUAUAUUUUUUUAAUUAGAAAUUAGAAAUUUUAGUUGUUUAUAUAAAUGAGAUUUUAAAUUAAAAAAACCAUAAUUUGUGGGAUUAAAAAUAUUAAAAUAUAAAUAUACUAUUGUGUGUGUGUGUGUGUGUGUGUGUGUAUAAAUAUGGGUACAUUCAUCAAAAUUAACCAAAAAAUUUAUUGUAUCAAAACAUGGGUACAUUCUUCAAAAUCACAAAAAAAGAAAGAUAUUAGGCUUAAUAACAUUAGUAAAUUUCUUCGAUUAAACUUGACAUGGAUACAUUUUAAAAUCAAAGAAAAAAAAUGUACCCAUAUAAGUUUAAAAAUGGAUUAGAAAAAAAAAUUGAAUAGAUUUUAUACAAAAAAAGGGUACGUUUUACAUAUAACAAAUUGGUAUAUUUAAGAAUGAGUACAUUUUAAGAUUAAAAAGUUUUACAUGAAUGGGUUCAUAUAAUUAGCAUGGGUACAUUUAGCAAAAUAAAAAGUACAAAUACAAAAAAAUAUAUGUGUACAAAUACAAAUAAACUUUAAAAAAUAUGGGCACAAAAAGAAAUUAAUAUAUGGGUACAAAUUAAAACCGAAAAGAAAAUUGGUACAAGUUAAAAAAGAAUUACAAAUUAAAAAUGGGUACAAACUAAAACUAAAAAUAUAUGAUAAAAAAUUUAGUCAUAAAUAUAAAUAUACUAAUUGUAACAUUUUUAACAUUAAAUGAAUAUAUUUAGACAUAAAAAAUAUAUUUUAUUAUUGAAAUAAUUAAUGAUGUUAUUAAUACCCAAGGACCUUGAUAAAAAAUUGAAAAGAAAUAGAAUUUUAAUCAAUGGAGUAGCAAAAGAAAAGAUGAGAACCUAAUUUCUCCUUUGUAUUGUGUAGACAUUAUAACUAUACAUUCAUAAUAACAUGAGUAAUGUUAUAUUUAUCACAUUUGUACUCUUUCUCCAAUAAAGAUAGGGUCCAUCAACACAUGUGGGUUCUAUUUGCCCAUCAACACAUGCGAAUCUCAUUUUUAUUAGAAAAAUAGUACAAAUAUGAUAUGGAAAUUAUGAUAAGAUCGCAAUUUUGUAAUAACAUAUAUACUCAACUAUUUAUAUACCAACUCAUCUCCCUUUAGUGUAGUUAAUAUUGUUUGUUCAACCAAAAAAAAAAAAACUGAACUUGUCAUAAUCAUUGAAUCCAUUUACCAUGAACAAACGGCAGUUUACUAAACUUGCCCUCAGAGUAUAUAUAAAAGGUGAAUCACAAUCUAUUGCAUUAAUAUAAGGAAACAAUUUAUAGGGUUUGACGGGUGACUUAAUAUGCUAUAUGGCACAAUGAAAAUUAAGUUCACACUUUAUCCCAAAUAAGGUGUUGCACCUUUAAUUUAUGGAUGCUGGUUUGACGUGUGACCGAAAUAAUCAAAUUGUAGCCAUUAAUCAUUUUACAAGUAAUAAUAUGUGGUUUUAUUGUUUACGAUUCACACAACAAUCUGCUAGGAAGUAGAAAAUGCAGUACUUGUCCCUCUCACAGAAGUCAUGAAUAAUUAUCAAAUUCAAAGAUAAAGAAAAACCACACAAUUUACAAGAGGAAAGAAAAUGAAGGGAUAAAGAAAGUAAGAAAGGAAUACCUCUAUGGGAGGACUCUUAUUUGCUUCAGAUGCCUACAAUAUUCAUCAUAUAAACACUGAUUAAGUAGUCAUCGAAAACCAAAACAAAUGUCGAACAUAGGGUGAAAAACAGAAAGAAUAACCGCAGCUCAUCAUACCAAUAGAGAUAGAACUGCCCGAUGCCCAAGUAUGACUGAAAAAUGGCAAUCCAAACAUGGCGCCUUCUAGCUCAUCAAACUGUCAAAACCUAGGUUCCACCAAAAAGAUACAAGUCACCUAGUUACUUGUAAAAUAAAAAUCUGUUUCAAAAUAGUGGAAAAUAUUAUUAACAUUGUUCAAAGUCCACAUUGUUGUACCUACCAAGAAACAAGAAGGAUUGUAUCUUAUCAUGAAAAAGAACAUAGGUACCUUUUCAAUUGUAAUUGUACAAAAAUGAGAGACCACUUCCGAACUUCUCUUGGAACUUCAAUCAAUUUCUGCCCACUUUUAAAUGCCUUGACAUACUUAAGCCUAUUUCUUUGAGCUUCAGUUUUGGCUUCUGAUGCCUUUAAAUUUCUUAAAGAUUCUUACCAAGUUUUACAAACUCACUUCUAUACAACCAUUUGUCAGUAUACAUACCAUUUUCUUUGAGCUUCAGUCUUUGCAACACCAAAACCCCCCAAAUAGACCCGGAAUUUUGCAAUGUGCAGGGAAUAUACAAAAAAAACCCUCCUAUCCAUCUAAAACGAAAUCAGAACGCAAACCACAAUCAAAAUCCGUAAAAUUAAUUUAGCCAACCCCUAAAUCUAAUAAUUCUAACAAAUAUUAUAGUAUCAAUUGAGAGAGAAUUUGAGAAGAUACCUAGAGAUGAAAGGAAGAGCGUUUCCUCUGAUAGGGGUUCCGUGAAAGCAUCUGUUGACCAGAAAAGAAAAGGCAAAAAACCCCAAAUUACAUAUCAAGCAAUUAUAGAUAGAUCGAACCUUGAAAAUUGAAAUUUCAAACAAGAGAAAGGUUAUAAACUUACAACGAUCUGGGUGUUGGUAACUGGGUUUGGAUUUGGGUUUCUGAUAAGAGAGAGAAUCGUAUGAGGAACCGAUAGAGGAACUGCACCGGCAACAGAGAGCAAUUGAUAUGGUGGAGAACAGACGAGAAUAGCUGCUUGGAUGGUCAAUCCAAGAAGAGAAAAUCUUGCCACAAUCGCGGUACUUGAAAAAAAAAAAAACAAGUUUAAAGGAGGGAAACAAUCGCGCCUUUUUCUAAUAGACUCUGUCGACGAUAUUCUUGACAAAUAGAUGCUUCGUCGGGUGAGCUUAUUUUUCACAACAUUUUAUUUAGGAUUGGGUUCGGUUGGUAAACCGUGUCAAAUUUCUUGUGCCACUUGCCAGCCACAUAUACAUAAUUACCGAAAAUCAGUUACCGUUAGCCAACCGUCUUCUUGCGGUUGCCAAAAAUCGGUUCAGCCAAAAUGAUUGGCUGGUUCGGUUGGUAAAUGGCACAACCGGUGGUUUCCACUUCUUCCUCGCUAUCUUCCAGUUCCAAGGGCUCAAUUUGAUUUUCAGAUUGGGAUGCUUGUUCGGUUGCAUUGUGUGGUUCAUUUUGGGUUAAUCCAUGUUGUGCACUAGUAGUUGAUUGGCUAGACUCCAUUAUCCUAAACAUAAGCAACAAAUAUACAUUCAAAAUAAUAUAUAUGUACGUGUAUAUAUAGUAUCAGUAAUCAUCAUGCUAUCAAUUUUGUUAACAAUAUUUUCUAUAUAUUGAUUUUGGCAUGAAUCAUAUACACAUACAUAUAUUUUUAAAACCCUAAAACUAAGGAGUCAUUUAUUUUCUAAACUCUAAAAUUGAGGAGUCAAGCAUGUAAAAAAAUACUUAAAAUAUCUAAAUAGAAAAAGAAAAAGAAAAAAAAAUAAAUAUAUAUAUAUAUCGGUAGGUAUGGCAUACCGCCGGCAUACAAAAUCAAUUACCAAAGCCAUGCCAUUAAUUGUCGGUUCGGUAAAAUGCCAACCGAUUAUGAAAAAAUGUCAAAACUAUACCAUACCAUUUUGAGCCAACCAGUAUGGUUUGGUCAGUAAAUCGGUUUAUGGCAAAAUUUCUCACCCCUAAUUUUAUUUGUCACCUUAAACCUAUUGGUUUCUAGCCUACAAUUCGGAUAUUUUGUUGGGGAAAGAUUUUUGUACCAAUAAAAUUUUGCUUUGUCGGCAAAAUGACAUUUUCUAGUAGUUAUAAUAUUAGGUAGAUCAAAUUUGUAAACUAUGUGAUGUGUCACUAAUAGGAAAAAAUUUCAGUGUGCUGAAAAUACGGUCUAGAACACCAAGUGUCAUAAUAUAUACUUGGUUGGAAAUCUUUUAUUUUCAAGUUUCCAACUAGUUGUAUUGUAACAGUUGGUGUUCCAAGCUAUUUUCUCCAUGCGCUGGAAAAUCUCUUCACUAAUUAAAAAUAAACAUAUUAAUUAACACUUAAGUAAUAAUCAAAGCAUCAACAACUACGUCAUAGAAUUUACGAAAUAUGAUCUUAAUUAAUGAUCUCCAUUACCCUUUAUCUUAGCGUAUACGUACGCCUUCACAUGUUUAUUUGCUGAUAUGCAGCUUGAGUAAAAAUUUCUUUUUAAGAACAUAUAUGUGAAUAUAAACAUAUAUAUCUAGUGAUCCAUGUUGCGUUAUUUAAAAAUAAACAAAUUAAUUAAUUAAUGAACUGUGUACCUGUCUGUGUAGAGUAAUCCAUAUGCAUGCUUGAAUCCUGAUCACCACGAAACCAUAAUAUAAGCUACUCAAGGCCCGGAAGCUAGGAUUGAAGAGAAAAACACCCAGUCAGAUUAAGCCAAUACAUCAAAGUUAAUACUUCCAAAUGUAAGCUUUAAGAUAGAAAAAUCACUUACUUCCUUGAGCAGUCGAGCUUCUUCAAUGGCAUGAAGCUUUUAGCAUGAGAUUGACUGCAUCACAACUAAAAUUUUCUCUUGGAAACUACAUAAGGAAUAGCAUGUAUACCUAUAACGUUGAGAAAGUACGCCAAUUUUUUCCUUCUGCACAUUCAUGUUUAAAAGUAAUCCUCAAAUGAACUUGCCCACAAUGAAAUGCAAUUUGAGGUAGUCGAGUGUGUUCCAUUUCCAUCCCAUCGGAAUUACUACUAAACUUUGAGAUGGUAGAGGAUUCAUGAAAUUUUUUACUUUUGAAAUAGUCUCCUUAGCAUUUCUCGACUAUAACAAUGAGGAAAUACUUCACCUUGUAUCAAACAAGGGAGACCGAAAAUCAACUACUAAUAGCAUCACAGAGCCAGCAGAAGAUUGAGGAGGCCAUGAAAAGGAAAGAGAAAAUACACUCUUUUUUUGUAAGGACAGAGAUAAUACAUUCAAUAAAGGGUACUGAUGUUUAUAUGCAAAGCUGAUUAGGUUUAAAUAGUCGUAUUUAUUCUGUACAGUGCCAAUAUUACCACCCGUUAGUACACUUUCAAGACACUGUAAUCCAGUGUAUGCACUAUGCAGUACGUAGUACUCCUCAUUUUUUUGGGGAAAUUCAUUAUUGGUCUUCAUAUCUUCUUUAUUUUCCUUGUCCUCAUUGUGCCACGUGUUUAAAUCACUAAUUAUAGGUAAUCUUUCAAUUUAAUUAAAUCUUAUGUAAAAAAAGAUAAUUAAAUAUCAUUUAGUAUUACAAUAUAGUGAUAUUCCUCUUUAGUAUAAAAUUUUUAUAAUUAAAAGCGUUCAGCUUUUUAAUCUUCAUUGGAAUAUUAUCUAUAAAGAAAAAUUAUUCGAAUCAGAGAUCAUUUAUGCAUUCAAAUGUAUAAAAUACAUCGACAGUGUGAGAACCAACUAAUAUAUUUUUGAUGAAGUACAAUUAUUGAAUACAUUUGAACGAUCAAAUGAUAUAUGAUUCAAAAUACAUAUUAAGAUAAUAAAUAUAAAAGAAUUGUUAUUUGCACUUCAAGAAUCUCAUUCUACACUCUAAAUUUUCUAUAUAUUAAAAGAAAAAUAAAUUUGUGAAAAGUGUAGAAUGAGGUUUUUUUAAAUGCUAAUAACACUUCUCUAAAUACAAUUAUGAAAUUAAUUAAGUAAAGAUACAUGACCUCGUGAAUGAUGAAUGUAUUAUUCAAAAAAAUAUUAAAAACAAAUUGAAAAAGGACGCUGUUGUUGCCACCACUUAUGCAAUGAUCGUCGCUGCCAUCACCAACCCCCAACACCCCAUUACAGCUCAUAAAAGCACAUCAUAAGCAAUUUAUGAAAUAAAUUUACUGGAAUACUAAUUUCCCCCUUAGUUUAGGUCACCAAUGUUUAAAUUUAGGGAUCGUGAUAUCCACACACAUUUUUUACUUCUUUCACACUUUUUUUUUCGGUUGUCGGAUCAGAUGAAUUGAAGAAAAUCAAUGAACAGAAAUUAACAAGGGGUGUGUGAGAAGUAAAAAUGAAUGUGUGGAUAACACACCCCUAAAUUUAUCACAACUUUCAUUCCAAAUUUAAUUUUUAUCCGUAGUUUUGUUUGUUCAAAUUUACUUUGACAUUUCCAUUAGUAUUAAAAUCUAAUUUAAAUUUUAGUGUUCAAGCUAGAAAAAGUGUUCCAUUUAAUAUUUAAUCUCAGUUUUUCUCUUUAUUCUUUUAUUGGGAUUUGGUUGCAUCGUAUCUCCAUUUUUCUCGGUGUUGUAUGUUCAUAAGGCCUGUGAAACGUUGGCACGGAGUGAAGGGUACUCACUUUUUGGCCCAAAAUGCAUAAGGCAUGUAGAUAUGUUAAUCAAAUUUUGUAAACUAAAGGAUAUAGAAGUUGAUAAUUAGAUUAUAAUUUAAGAUAAUACUAAGGAGACUAAAUUUGCAAACUAAAUGAUGUGUCACCAAUAAAAAUAAGCACGUUUAUCAACAAUUAAGUAAUAAAUCAAUCAUCAACUUUCAUGUCCUUUAGUUUCCAAGAUUUAAUAUACAAAUUUAGUCUCCCAAGCAUUACUCUAUUACUUAAGUAUUGAUUAACAGACUUAUUUCUUAUGGUGACACAUUAUUUAGUUUACAAUUUUAGUCUACCCAACAUUACUCUUUUGAAAUUGUCUUGUCCACUGAUAUAAUUCUAUUUUUCUUGUGAUCAAAACUUCAAAUGUUAGCAAGUCGCACGUAAAGUCGCUUAUGAGAGAAUGUGCUCACAUUGUAGUUGAAAGAUUAUGUGGCUAGCAACAUUACAAAUUUAAUUUGGUAUAAUUCUAAAAUAUAGAUUGAGGAAAAAAUGAUCACAUUAACUAGAAACUGAAAAGGUUUCAGCACAGUUUGUUCAAGCAAGAAAUUCAAUUUUGAUGCUACCGAUCUUAACAGCCUGAGCGCCGUACCUGGGCACCAAAGUCACCACCACACUCUCAUCAUCUUCAGCACCCAAAUCCUCCAACAGGUCCGUUAACCCCAACCUUAAACAACUCUUGCUCUUUUCCUUCUGCUUAUGUGGCACACUCACAAAACUCCCAGCAAACUCGCUCUUGUCGGGUCCACUCGGUGCCGCAUCCUCAUCGUCCACGUCAUUCACAUACACACAUCAAACUUCACAGCCACAUCUUUGUCAAGCUCAAUCCCCUGAAUCACCAAUAUCUCCUCCUCAUCCUCUUUCUCCUUCUUGCUCCUCUUCUUCGGCUUCGGCCUUGACACCACCGUACUUAUCUUCGUCUCCAAAUUUAUUGGAAAAUCUUUACCCGCCACCACCUUCCCUGAUGACGUCGUCUCAGUGGCCUUCGCCACUCCAGCCGCCUUUGCCUUUCUCGCAAGCUUUGUCCGACGUGGCGUCGGUCUAGACUUGAGCCAUGGAAUCUCAACAUCUUCAUACGUAUACCCUAGCUUUUUAUUAUCAAGAGUGUCCCUCACCGUGACCCUAACAAGCUCAGCAUUCUCGUCAUAAAACAAAAACCCCGUAUCCAACCAAUCCUUAUCGUUAAUAUCGUUAUUUUUAGUCCCUAUACUUUUCCAAAUAUUCCACAUUCGAUCUAUAUUCGAAUGGUGCGAAAAAAAUAUUGGAUCCCUUGCAGCGGAGUAAAAAUUCCCCAUGUCUUCAAAAUUAGGCUGCGUGUUAUCUCCGGUCCAUAAAUGAACCGGACCAUGUGGGGUCGUUUCGAUUGAACCGCCCCCUGGAUCUGGUUCAGUGUCAGCCCUGUAGGGCGAACCAAAGAACAACAGCGGUUUCUUGGAGUUGGAAACCAUCUGCCUAUACAUGAUUUUGAGGUUGGCGUCGAUUUGAGCAUCCUUGGACAUUGUUUCAUCCGUGCCGUUGAAGUCAAGAUCGAUGAGAGUCGGCGGCUGAUGGCUGGCAGCGCGGAGCUCGUCGUAAAGCGGAGAGUCCGGGUUAGCGAACAAGGCAGGGAGUUGCAUGCCAGCUGGCGCGUCCCAGUUCCAAAACGGCAACGCGAACGUCGGAUCGUCUAUGAGUUUGGCCAAGAUUCUUUCGUAGAAGUAUACGUAGUAACGAUGGAAGGGGAAGAAAAGCCAGCAUUGAUGGAUUUGGAGCUCGAGGUUGGGGAAGCCGACUUGGUCGUACGCGCCGUCGCAAUAGGCACAGUGGAGAUCGGCUUGCUGGGUGAAGCUACGCGGAUCGUCGUCCGGGAGGGCUUUCAUGAGCUCGAUGGCUUUUGAAUAUUUUUCGAUGUAGGCUUUAUCCACGGUGUGAGCUGCCGGCCUGACGCGGAGUUUGGUAGGGGAGGGGAAUUUGAAGUCUACGAUUUUUUGGGACGUUGGCGGGCAACAGUUGAUCGGGACUGCUCCACUUGGAAAGUCCGCAGCUCCGCAUUUGGCUAGGUCAGGCGGCAACACUGGCUUUGCAACAGCGAAGGGGUCGCUGCCAAGACCAGCCACUCCGGCUUUGCAACAGCGAAGGGGUCGCUGCCAAGACCAGCCACUCCACCGUAGAGGCUUCCGAGACCUAUAAGAAGAUAGAAUUCAGUUCUUGGCAGUAGAGGACUCUAUUGCAGGGAAAAACUGAUUUGAAUUAGGAAGGCUUAAGUAGUUUUCCAUAAGGAUUUUAAUAGGGAAUCCAUAUUCUAAUAUGAGAAGGAUAUGUGUGUACAUAUAUAUAUAUAUAUAUGGCAAUCUCUUCUCUCACAGGUGUGUGCUCUUUUGGAACUAAGCCCUAUUCUUAGUUUGAGUGAUAAAUACCCUGACAGAGAGAAGAAGAAUUGAUGUGCUUUUCAGGUUGAUCGAGAUCCACCAUGACUGCAUCAAACGGGAGUUCUACAGGUUAGUAUAAUUAGGUUUUAUUUGGAUUGAUGUUUUGUGUCUACUUGGUUGUAGUUUAAGUAACUGAAUCUUGCAGCUAGAUUUUGGUUUACAUGUGGUAUCAGAGCCAUAGAUUCAUGUUCUUAAAUUCAAUCGAUAAAAUUGAUUGAAUCCAAAAUAAAAUUCCGAUCUUCAGACUUCGAAACAGGUUCUGGUAGUUAAAAUUAGGAAAAGAAGAAACGGUGCGUUUUGAUUAAAAUAUGAUGAUUAAUACUUGACCGUUAAGAGCUAAUAAACUAUCUUCUCUUCCGAAUUGGGAAUACAAAUCGACAUCUAUCGAUUUCGAUUUCGGGGUUUGAAAAACUGGGUUAUAUGACAUCUAUCGAUUUCGAUUUCGAGGUUUGAAAAACUGGGUUAUAUGAAUUGUUAUUGAGUAUCCACAAUUUAUAUUAAUUGCUUCCGCUGCUGGGUGUUGAUGCUCAUAGAACAAACGGGUAUGUCUCCUGAACAUUGAAUUGAAAUUUGUUUUUUAAUCAAUCUUAUCUUGAAUUUCAUUAUGUUCUACAGCAUGAUUCGAAUAGUGAGCAUAAAAAUAUGCUUAUUUAUGCUGAUUAGUCCUAUGUUUAUGCGUUUUUCUCUAACCAUCUAUGGAAGGGAGUUCUUCGAUAAGAACCUCUGCAGAUUUCACUUGUUUUAUGCAGAAAGUUUUAUGAAGAACUGUUCAUUUGAUAAAGAUCUGCUAAAACUGUGUUCUUAAAUGGAAAAAUCUUUUAUUCUAUAUGUGCUUAUCAAUUCUUCAUUGUUAAGAUUAUAUAUAUGGAUAAAAGGUUUUGAUGAUAUGAUGUACAAAGGAUUGUGAGAUGAAAUCUGGAACUCUAAACGUUCUUCUGUGAUUCAUUGUGAUUUCAUUGUGCUACAGUGUCUGCAAUAUCAAUGAAGACUCUGAAUUUGGCUAACAUCCCAAUUCUUACUGGUGGGGGAAAUUACAAGAAGUGGAGAAGGGAAAUCAGUUUGCUGUUGACUCUAAACGAGUUUGAUAUAGCAAUCGAGAAUCCCAAACCCGUGGUCAAUGAUCAGAGCAGCACAAGGGCUGAAAAGGCAGAUUUUGAGAGAUGGACAAGGGCUAAUAAGGUAGCAUUGUCCAUCCUUGAGAGUGGCAUGACUGAUACAAUCAGAUGAGGAAUUAAGAAGCACGAUUUGGCUGCUGAUUACCUAAAAGCUAUUGAAAAGAAAUUUCAAGAAUCUGAAAAAGCUGAAGUGAGUCAGUAUAUGUCUUUAUUAACUACUUACAAGAUGGAGGGUACAAGCUCUAUAAGGGAUCACAUAAUGAAGAUGACAUAUGCUGCAGAAAGACUCAAUGCAAUGGAUAUAAACAUAGGUGAAAAGCAGUUAGUAUUCAUGAUUCUUCAAGCACUUCCCAGUAAAUAUAGUCAGUUGAAGAUCUCCUACAAUACUCAAGACAAAAACUGGGAUAUUGAUCAGUUGAUUGCACAGUGUGUGCAAGAAGAAACUCGUCAAAAACAAGAAAGAGGCAAAGAAGUUGAGGACAUCAACUUUGUGCAAACUAUAAAUGACAAAAAGCAGUUCAACAACAGAAGCUUUUCUGGUUCUGGUAAGAGUUCUAAGCCUUUUAAAACUUCUAAUAAGUUCAGUAAUUCUGCUAAAGUAGUUGACUCCCCUAGAAAAUCUAUCAAGUUUAAAGCUAAACCUAAAGAUGUGUCUAAAUUAAAAAUGUUUUUGGUGCAAAACUAAGGGCCAUUUAAAAGUUAACUGUGAAAUUUUCAAAGAUUAUGUAAAGAGCAAAGAAAAGGAACAAGUACUUGUCUGUAUUGAAUCAAAUUUGUGAAGUAUACCUGUUGAUUCUUGGUGGUUUUGAUAUACCGGAUGCUCAGUGCAUAUAACUAAUUCUUUAAAUGGUUUUCAAAAACAAAAGGAAUUUGGAAAUGCUACAUAUAAUGUUUUUGUUGGGGAAGGAACUAAAGUUGCAGUAGAGUCAAUUGGGAUAGUCAAAUUAGUCUUAUGUUCUGGUUAUGUUUUAGAGUUGAAAGAUGUGUGCUAUAUGUGCCUAAGAUGAGAAGAAACUUAAUUUCUGCCCUCUAAAAUUGUAAAAGAUGGUUUUUCUUUUCUUGGUGAUGAUGAGUGCCUCAAAAAUUUUCAAGAAAAACUGUCCUUGUCCUAACACUAUUUUAGGGACUGCUUUUUUGUCUGAUAAUUUAUGGAAUCUAAAUUGCACUGUUAAGGCACUCAAUCACACGAUUUUCAGCAUUAGUACUAAGAGAAUGAUAGGUCAGGAUACUUCAUACAUUUUAUGGCACAAAAGACUAGGACACAUCUCUAAAGAAAGGAUAAUUAAGCUGUAAAAAACUGACUUGAUUCCAAAAUUAGAUCUUUCUACUGCAACUGAAUGUGUUGACUGCCUAAAGGGUAAAAUGACCAAUUUUAGAAAAACAGAUGCCAAAAUGAGCCAGGGGUUACUUGAAAUCAUACACACUGAUAUCUGUGGUCCUUUUCCAGUUAAGACAAUAUGUGGAAACAAGUAUUUCAUUAAUUUCAUAGAUGAUUUUUCAAGGCUGGGAUAUACCUUUCUGAUUAAUGAAAAAGCUGAUGCCCUUAAGUGUUUUAUAAUUUACAAAACUGAGGUUGAAAAACAGUUAGGCAAGGUUAUUAAAAUUGUUAGAUCGGAUAGGGGAGGUGAAUACUUUGGCAGGUACACUGAAUCCGGGCAGCAAAAGGGACCAUUUGCUCUCUAUCUCGAGAAGAAUGGUAUUGUGGCGCAGUACACCACACCUGGAACGCCUCAACAGAAUGGUGUUUUUGAAAGAAGAAACAGGACUCUUAUUGGUAUGGUUAGAAGCAUGAUGUCCAGAUCAAAAUUGCCAGGAUUCUUGUGGGGAGAAGCUUUGAAAACAGCUAAUCAUAUAUUGAAUCGAGUUCCAAGCAAGGCAGUAUCUACCACACCCUAUGAGUUAUGGCAUGGGAGAGUUCCUAGUUUUACUUAUUUCCAUGUUUGGGGUUGUAAAGCAGAAGCUAAGUUAUAUAAUCCUAAUGAAAGAAAGCUGGAUUCAAGGACUCAGUCAUGUUAUUUUAUUGGCUAUCCUGAGAAAUCAAAAGGAUACAGGUUCUAUAUCCCUCAAGGUCACACUCGGAUCCAAGAGACACACAAUGCAGUUUUCCUAGAAGAUGAAGAUGUCUCUCAUUUGUCAAGGGAAAAUUUCAUAUUUGAAGAGAUGCAUUCAGAUGGUGGGGACCAUGUGACAAUGGAUUAUAAUAUCGGUCUCAUUGUUUCCCAAUCAAUCAUCAAUUGCCAUUGAAGAUAUGAGUGAAGAUUUAGGAGUUCCUGAUGACAACUCUGUAGGAGUUGAUUCCACAACAUAAGCUGCAACAAUUCCUUUUGCAGAAGCAUGUGAACCAGUUGCUGUUCCACCUCCAGUUGAAAUCAGAAGGUCACAAAGAGCUCGGAAAACCACUGCAAGCAAUGACUAUGUGUACUUAUAAGAGACUGAGUUCGAUAUUGGUGACAUUUGAUGAUCCUCUUACAUAUACUCAGGCAACUGAAAGUCCUCAAGCAGUUCUUUGGAACAAUGCAAUGAAGGAUGAGUUAGAUUCAAUGUCCAAAAACCAGGUUUGGACAUUGGUGGAAUCCAACUCUGAAAUUAGGCCAAUAGGCUGCAAGUGGGUAUAUAAAACCAAAAGGGAUGCUGCUGGAAGAAUUGAAAGAUAUAAAGCAAGGUUGGUUGCUAAGGGGUUUACUCAAACGGAGGGGAUCGACUAUAAUGAUACUUUCUCUCCAGUUUCCUCCAAAGACUCCAUGCGAGUUAUCAUGUCUUUAGCUGCCUACUUCGAUCUUGAAUUACAUCAAAUGGAUGUAAAAACCGCUUUUCUUAACGGAGACUUACAAGAGGCUAUAUACAUGAAACAACCUGUUGGAUUUGUUGAAAAGGGGAAAGAGAAUUUAGUAUGCAAGCUCAAUAAGUCCAUAUACGGCUUGAAACAAGCAUCAAGGCAAUGGUACCUAAAGUUUGAUCAAAUUGUCUCUGCAUAAGGUUUUGUAGAAAACAAACUGGAUGAUUGUAUAUACAUUAAGUUCUCAGGUUCCGAGUUCAUCUUCUUAGUACUUUAUGUUGAUGCCAUUCUCCUAGCUAGUUCAUGUCCCCAAUUGCUUCAUAGCAUUAAGAGAAUGCUAAGUGAUAACUUUGAGAUGAAAGAUCUUGGAGAAGCACAUUAUGUACUAGGAAUAGAGAUUGUUCGAGAUAGGAAAAUGAGGCUCCUUGGUUUAUCUCAAAAGGGGUACAUUGACAGAGUGUUGGAGAAAUUUCAUAUGGCAAAUUGCAAUUGUGGUCAGGUUCCAGUCAAUAAAGGUGACAAGUUUUCGAAGAUUCAAUGUCCAAGAUCUGAUUUGGAGGUGAAGAAAAUGCAAGCUAAGCCUUAUGCCUCGUUGAUUGGAAGUCUUAUGUAUGCAACUAUCUGUACAAGGCCUGAUAUUGCCUUCAUAGUUGGUAUGCUAAGACGAUUUCAAGCAAAUCCUGAGAAGCACAUUGGGGGUGGCAGCCAAGAAGGUUCUUCGAUACUUGCAGAGAACCAAAACUCACAUGUUAGUAUAAUGGCCGAACUGAUUCUUUGGAGCUCAGGGGGUAUAUACUCGGAUUUAGCUGGAGAUGUGGAUGACAGGAAGUCCACAGGGGUUAUAUCUUCAUACUCAAUGGAGGGGCAGUUUCGUGGAAAAAUGCAAAGCAAACUAUUAUAGCCACAUCAACUAUGGAAGCUGAGUUUGUAGCCUGUUUUGAAGGCAUGAAACAGGCAGCAUGGUUGAAGAAUUUUUUGACAGAUUUAAAGAUUGUGAAUUCGGUUCAGAAACCAGUAACAAUGUUCUGUGAUAAACAACUCGGCUGUGUUUUUUGCUAAGAAUAAUAAAAGGACUUCAGCAUCUAGAUUUGGAUGGACGAAGUUUCUUAAGGUCAGAGAACAAGUCAAGAAAGGAGUUAUUGAAGUACAGCACAUUAGCACUACUAUGAUGAUUGCUGAUCCCUUGACUAAGGCACUGCCAAUUGGAGAAUUCAAGAAACAUGUUUCUUCAAUAGGAGUACUAGAAGGUUUUGAUCAGUGGGAGUAAUCACGUGUGUGUUAAAGGCUUGGGAUUGCAGAAGCAGAAGUAUAUAUGUGUUUCAAGAACUGUAUGUGCAAUUCUGACAAGCUGAACUAAGGAUGCUUUAUGUUUUAACUUGCUUUAGUUAGUUUGUUAAGGUUGUUUGUGUUUUAAUAAGUGUCCUUGUCUGCUACUCAAUACUUUGGCUUUCAGGUGUUGAGGUACGGAUACUGGACUGAGUUAGAAUUUAGUUUCAUUAGUAACUUUGAAAGAACAGUUUGUCUGUUUUUUAAGUUUGUGGUUAAUGAUGUUAUAUAGUCAAUUACUAUGUUGCUUUUCUGUGAAGAUUAAUGUGUGUUGUGAUCUUUUGAAAAGUGGGAGCAUAAUGUUUGACGGUUUAUGUUAGUCAUGAGUCAUAUUUACAAAUUGAAUAUAUGUGAGCCUUGAAUUAAUACUACAAUUUGGUUGUGGUCUGAGAUUCUUGGUUUCUAUAUUUUGAGAUGUAAUGGGACAGUGGUCAUGAUGGUUAAAUCUUAGAUGAGGUUAUGUGAUCACUUCUUAUGAUUGGUGACGGCAAGGUUUGAUCUUUGUCUCAUGUUCAAGUGGGAGAAUGUAAGAAUGUGAACAUGAGAUAAGAUGAUCGGAUAUUAGUUGUUUGAGUCCAAUCCGAAUAAGAAAGCCUCUAAGAAGAUGGAAUUCAGUUCUUGGCAGUAGAGGACUCUAUUGCAGGGAAAAACUGAUUUGAAUUAGGAAGGCUUAAGUAGUUUUCCAUAAGGAUUUUAAUAGGGAAUCCAUAUUCUAAUAUGAGAAGGAUAUGUGUGUACAUAUAUAUAUAUAUAUGGCAAUCUCUUCUCUCACAGGUGUGUGCUCUUUUGGAACUAAGCCCUAUUCUUAGUUUGAGUGAUAAAUACCCUGACAGAGAGAAGAAGAAUUGUUGUGCUUUUCAGGUUGAUCGAGAUCCACCAUGACUGCAUCAAACGGGAGUUCUACAGGUUAGUAUAAUUAGGUUUAUUUGGAUUGAUGUUUUGUGUCUACUUGGUUGUAGUUUAAGUAACUGAAUCUUGCAGCUAGAUUUUGGUUUACAUAUUUUUCGAUGUAGGCUUUAUCCACGGUGUGAGCUGCCGGCCUGACGCGGAGUUUGGUAGGGGAGGGGAAUUUGAAGUCUACGAUUUUUUGGGACGUUGGCGGGCAACAGUUGGUCGGGACUGCUCCACUUGGAAAGUCCGCAGCUCCGCAUUUGGCUAGGUCAGGCGGCAACACUGGCUUUGCAACAGCGAAGGGGUCGCUGCCAAGACCAACCACUCCGGCUUUGCAACAGCGAAGGGGUCGCUGCCAAGACCAGCCACUCCACCGUAGAGGCUUCCGAGACCUAUAAGUACAUUUCUUCUGUCUAGGUUUACUAGAGAAGGGUUUUCAUGGUCGUGAUCGUUGGAGCUAGUGGAAGGGUUUUUGUUUUGGUCACUACUAUUAUUUGUGGCUUUGCACGAGACAGCUUGUAAAUUGGAAUGCCUAGGGUUUCCAAAUGAGGAUAUUCGGUGAUACUUUUGGGAGAAAGGGGAGAGAGAAGUUGUGGGGAUGAUACUUGUGGCGGAGGUGACGAGUGGAGCUGACAUAGAAGCCAUGGUACUUGACUCUGAAUAAUACGUUG
rnacentral:lncRNA from 1 species